rnacentral:lncRNA from 1 species
UUUUUUUUUUUUUUUAAGUAAUAGUAUACGGUUUCAGUUCUUUCUUCUUAUGUCUCUGCCUAUAUCUUCAGUUUUAUAAGUACAAUGAAACUCAUCCACUACAAAUUGCCCGUUCGAAUUAAAAUUCUUUUUAAAAAAAUGUAACGUAACGAUUUGAUGUACGUUAAUUGAAAAAUGUGUUAACAAAAAAAAUGUAAAUACUUUUUUACGAAAAAUUACAAUCCAAAUAAGGCGUGCCGAUCGGGAAAUUGCCAAGAAAGUGUUAUGGUGCUUUUCAGAUCUUAUAUAUGACCUGGAGGUAUGACUUGGGCAAGAAAGAAAUGUUGAUAGAAUCUUAGAUUGAAGAUAAGAAUAUGGAACUUACCGUGGAAUUGAAUUUUAAAGAAUUUGGCAGACAGCCAGACAAUGCAGGACAAAAUGGUUUCCAAGACAAAUACUACUUGAAAAAUCAUCAUUCCAAGUCACUGACUCGUACAUCAUCGUGGCUAUGGAUGUAAGGAAAUCCAAAAGCACGAUAUAAUAACCAUUGCUUUUUUUUUUUCAAAGUAAUAUACGGUUUCAGUUCUUUCUUCUUAUGCCUCUGCCUCUGCCUCUGCCUCUAUCUUCUGUGGACUCUUCUAGUACGUAACGUAAAGGGUGGGUAGUGGUUGAGAAUCUUGAAUUGAGUUUCGAAACCAGUGGUAUUUGUGGUGGUGGUGGCUCCAUAGCUGAAGGUGGAAAUGGAAAAUUUUAUAGUUUGAAGAUGAUGGCAUUGAAUCCUCCCGAAGUUAGAAAGAAAAGGUUGAAUUGGGAGGAAGGCAAAGAUGUGGUCCGAAGUCUGAACGAGCAAUAACUAAAGAUUGCAAUGCAAUGGUUAUUUUAUAAUCUGAAAUGGAGCAAUCAUCAUCAAUUAAGCUUGCAAUUUAUUUUUUUGGGAAAAAUACACUUUUCAUCUCCAAUGUUUAAGGUGUUCACUAAUUUCGUGCCUAAAGUUUCAUACAAAACACAUUUCAUCCUUAUAAUUUUGUAAUUUUGACCAAUUUUGUCCCUAAAGUUUAUGUAGAACACAUUUCAUCCUCAUAAUUUUAUAAUUCCUACCAAUUAGGGACAAUUAAAGGAUUGUUAACCAAUUUAGACAUAAUAUUAUCACAUGUCCCAUUAAUAAUUGUAUUGUUAAUACUUAAUUCAAUUAUUGAUUAAAUUAUAGAAAUAACAACAAGUGUUUUUGGAUAGGAGACUAUCUCUUUUUUUUUCCCUUUAAAUUGUGAUAUGAUAUAUUUGAGACUAAAUGAAUAGAUUGAAAGAUAAAUAGAUGAUUGAAAAACAUGUAUAUGAUGCAACAAAACAAAAUUUUGCAAAUAAAUGACAAUCUAAACCAUUCAUUCUUUUGCAUUAAUAUUUUUCUCCAAUUAGUUGUGAUGGGUAUGUUUGACAUUUUUCUUCAAUUGGCUAUAGUAGGAUUUGUUUCUUUCCCACUGACUUCAUUUUCUUUGGAUCUUCUUGUUCGAUUGUGAUUAAGAAGAAAGUAAUGGUGGCUAAAAUUUCUUAGUCUUUUUUGUACUAAAAUGAGAAAGUGAAUUAAGAAAAGAUUUUUGAGCUUUUAGUUAAUCCAUUUUUUUUUUUACUAAUGGGCAUGCUGUGAUCAAGUGAUGCUAUCCCAUUCAGAUUGCUUUACAAUCUACUUUUUUUUUAAAUAUUAUUAUUAUAUUAGAACAAAACAGAGAAAUACAAGCAGGUGAGGUAUAACAAUUAGGGCAUGGCACCUGUAACCCUAAACCUGCGAAAGGAAGGAAAGCCUAGCCUAUCCAAUCGGUAUGCACCUCUAGCCAAUUUGGGUAAAUCCUUAAUACUUUCAUAGACAUAAACCACAUGCUGAUGAUGUGCCAAACCAACAUUUGCCAAUACAUCCGCAACCUUAUUUGGUUCUCUAUAAGAGUGUGUGAACUGACAACUUCCCCCAGCCAGUAACUCAAUCUUCCCCACCUCAAUUAGGAAAUUACGAGAAUGAAAUGUGUUUGUGUAAAACUUGAAGGAUGAAAUUAAUCAAAAUUAUAAAAUUACAAGGAUGAAAUGUGUUUUGCAUGAAAUUUUAGGGAUGAAAUUGAUUAAUACCUUAAAUAUUAGGGAUGAAAAAUGCAUUUUUGCUUAUUUUUUUCUUUCCCAUCCACUCCAUAAAAUAUACUACUCCACUAUUUCAUGAAACGUCUAUUAGUUGAUAUUUGCGUUCUCGUGAAAGGUGUGGGGAAGUUCUUUCUCGCAUCCGUUUCAUAAAAUAUACUACUCCACUGUUCCAUGCAUUCAUUUACUUGCAAUCUUCCAGGCUGCAAAAGACAAAAACUUUCGAGGCAGUCGCACGUUCUUAAAUAGGAAGAUAAACAUAACAAUUGCAACACACGACGCAUAUUAUUUAUUUAGUUUUGUAAGUACAAUGAAACUCAUCCACUACAAAUUGCCAGUUCGGAUUGACUUUUUUUUAAAAAAAUUGCACCAUAACAAUUUGAUGUAUGUAAAUUGAAAUAUUUGUUAACAGAAAUUGCAAUCCAAAUACGGCGUGCCACGUAGCUUCAAAUGGCAAACAAGAGUUUGUCAAUUGGGAAAUUGCCAGGAAAAUGUUAUGGUGCUUUUCAGAUCUUAUCUAUGACCUGAAGGUAUGCCUUGGGCAAGAAAGAAAUGUUGAUAGAAUCUUAGAAUGAAGAUAAGAAUAUGGAAUUUUAAAGAAUUUGGAAGACAGCCAGACAAUGAAAACAAAAUGGUUUCCAAGACAAAUACUACUUGGAAAAUCAUCAUUCCAAAAAAAAAAAAAAAGUCACUGACUCGUACAUCAUCGAGGCUAUGGAUGUAAGGAAGUCCAAAAGCACGAUAUAGUUGACCUAUUUCUUCCUUGACCACAUCUUCUUAGAGUUCAUUCAUUUGUGAAUUGUCCGAGCAGAUUUUUCAUUCUUCAGCUACCAAAUACUUUGACUCUUUGUACAUGCGUGCUGAUGACGAUACAUUUAGUAAUGUCCCAAUAUAAGUGAAUUUUUCAUUUAAGGAAUAUUCUCUCUUUCCACUGACCUCAUCAAGAAGUGAAGAGAAAAUUUAUCAUGCCGUUCCUUUUGUCAAGUCAAAAUAAUAAUAAUAAAAAAAAAGAAUAAAAAUGCUAUUCUACCUUUUCACAUAUGGAAUUGCGCUAUCCUUCAUUCUUGGUGAUCAAGUUUAUUUUUAAGAAUUUUACCUCUAGGUUUAAAAUUCAAUAAUGUUUCAACUCCAUUUGUGUUCAAUUGCUACCUUGUUUGAUAAUGUGUCAAGUAAUUAUCCUUAGAUAACAGUUGAGAAGUAUUCGUUGGUGACUAGUAAUUUCUUUGCAAACUAGUUAUAUCGAUCUCCAGAUCAGUAUUUUUCUAGAACGGUAAAACGAGAAAGAAAAUAGAAUUUGAAAACUUCUGGACUUACCCAAGCCGUGCGUCAUGGCUGCUUGAAUAAUACUCCACAUCAACAGAUUGAACACCUACAGUGGUCCGCUGUCGUCUUGGCAAGCCAAUCGCUUUAUACUACUUUACUAGUAGUUUUUUUGAACCUAAAAUUCCUCUUCUUGAAAAUUAGUCCAACACUGCGCCAACUCCAUAAUUUGCAGUGUGUGUAUGUAUAUAUAUUUAUAUUGCUUUUUUCAAUCUUCCGGCAUUGAGUGGCCACAUUAAAUUCUCAUUAAUCUAGAGUCAAGCAUUGUCGGAUAUUUUUGGGGUGGCUUUCCAACUUGGCCUUGUUUGGAUUGUGAUUUUUUGUAGAAAAUUUUUUACAUAUUUUGUAAACACAUUUUUAAUCACAUUUUUACCUCGUAUAUAUCAAAUUAUUACAGUAUAUUUUUCUAAAAAAACUCAUUAAAAUAGCAAUAAUUUGUACUUGCUUCCACUAUAAUAUGACUCCUUCGUAAAUUUUGAGAUAGAGAUUAGGGAUAAUUUCAGAAAUCUCCCUUGAGGUUUUUGACAAUUUCAAACAGCUCCCUUGUGAUUUUAAAAAUUACACUUACCUCCCUUAAUGGUGUAAAAUUACUUCAAUAACCCUCAGAAAACAAUUUAACCCAUUUAUAAGAAAACAAGGAAAUUUAUAAAAGAAAAUUCCUAAUCAGCAAUAAACCCGCAAACUAGUUUACUCCUUUCUAUUCUAUGGUAUUCAACAAUUUGUUAUUAUUUAUUUCCUCUUUUUCAUUGACAAAUUAUCUUCCCCUUUCUCUCUUCUCAUGAAAAAUACAUAGAGAUUGGUAAAUAAUCAAUUUUCCUAUGCCAAAAAGAUAAAACUCAGGUCAUGUACUUAAACCAUAUUAAUUUGAUAUAAACAACAUGAAUUACGCAAAUAAAUUGCUUCGCAAAAAACCCAAAUGUGAAAUUACUUUUCAAUUUGCUUCCAAUGUCAUGGUAAUCCUUUUAUUUUCUUUCUUGCGUACAAGUAACAUAUAACACUAUUGUCGACAUUUCUAAGAUAUGGUAUUAAGCGUGGGAUAUAUGGGUAGAUCAUAUUAGGGUUUUAAUGAGUUAGAUUGUGUUUAAAAUGACAAAUAUAUUUUGGGUUUUGAUUAUUUUGAGUAUCAUAAUAGAUUGUUGAUGGCAUGGCAGAAAAGAGAGGAUGAUGCAGGGGCAACUUGUGUCAUGAAAGAAUGUUGCUAAAUUAUUCUUCCUCCUUGCCUUGGUGAUGAAGAGAAGUGGUCUUCCAAGGAUUGAUGGGUGGUGAAUCUAGUGAUGGACAUUGGCAAGUUAAAGAAAGAGAUGAAAGAAACUUUUUAAAAUUUGAAAGAGGGCAUUAUAGGAUAUUGAAAUGAAAAAUUGGUCUAUUGGGUCUACUUUGUUACAUAAACCAUCAAAAGAAGGGAGGCGGCUGUAAUUUCUCAAACCUUAGAGGAGCUGUCUGCUACUGUCAGAAAAUUCAAGCUCCCACCCGGUUAACUUUGAAGGUUGUGGAAGACUCACUUUAGAUAUUUUCUGUGUUGUAGUAAUUAAUUUGAUGAAUAAAGGUCCCUUGAUCGGCAUAUAGCUAAGAUCCCUCUUAGAUAAUUUCCAAGGCUUGAUUUGCCCGGUUUACAGUAACAGGAUGGUCAAAGACAGCCAAUUAGCUGUCAAUCCAACAGAUCAGCCGUCUACAUAUAUCAAGGAUCACGCGUUGAAAUUUGAUGAACUUUGGAAGAGCAUAUAUUUUGACAACUAUAUAGCAUGAGAAAUCAAAUCUCCGUACGCCUAAAUACUAUGGAUAAUAUAAACAAGAAUGAGUGACAUCUAAUUCACUUUUUAUUUUAUAUAUAUUACAUCAAAAAAUUAUUAUAAUAUUUUUUUCUCAAAAAAUUAUCUCAAGAAUGUACCAUUUAGACAAACCCACUAUCAUUAUUGUUAAUAUUGAAUUCACUUUAAAAGAUGUAGUAGUAGUAGUAGUGUAAACUACUACUAUACUUUUGACUUACAAGUGCAAACUAUAAUAUAAAAUUACGUACAGAUAGACACCAACGCCUACGUAAAGCAACACUCACCAACCCACAUACAGCAUGUAAACAUGCUUAAUUAAGUUGCGAGUAAAAAAACACGUAGAUAUUUAUCACCAAGACAGAAGAAUUUUGCAUGCCAAAAAUGUCAAAACCCAUCUUUUUCUUUCAUCUCACGCAAAAAUAACUUUAAUUUUGGUCUUCACGGUUUUGAUUUUUGAAGGAGUUUCGUGGGCAGCAAUCCUUGUUAGGUAGUAGUAACUUAUUUGUCAACGUUGCCCCCCCCCCCUCCUCUUUCGCUACUUAGUCUUUUUUAUCAUCAUUUUAUCUUGGAGCUCUGAUUUUGAGGGCAUGCGAAUUGGUAUAAAGCCUUGCCUUGCCUUAUCUGGAAAACUAAUCCUUCCCAACACUAGGCUAAAGCCUCAAUAUGCACUCAUUGGCCUGUUCAAAUUUAAUAUUAAUCACCAAAUGCUCCUAAAUUUGAACUGAAACUUGGAGUUUGUUCGAAAUAGAAAUUCAAAACUUUUGAGACCCUAAAAUCUGACUCAGAUCUGAGUUGGGAAAUUUCUACUUUUUUAAGCGUAACGGAUCUUCUGUCCCACACUCUAUGCCACUCUCUGUCCCACUUUUUAUUAUAUUGUUAUUUCUCCUACAUAAACAUCAUGUUUUAAUUCUUUUUUGUUUUCUUAAAAUUCAAUAACUAUUAAUUGAGUGAAAAAUAAAUACAGCAGCUUCAAAAAAGUAAUAUAUAAUAGAAAAUUAAAAAAUAUAGUAGAAAAUUCAUAAAAAUCUCAUUUUUUAUGCAUUUUAAUUUCUUGAAUUUGUUAAAUUUUGUAUAUUACUCAAUUAAUAGUUAUUGGAUCUUAAGAAAAUAAAAAAGAACUAAAACAUGAUAUUUAUGUAGGAGAAAUAGCAAUAUAAUAAAAAGUGAGACAAAGAGUGGCAUAAAGUGUAUGACAGAAGAUCCGUUGCGUUAUUUAAGCUGCUUGUACGUAAGCUAGCUAGAUAGUUUCCGUAUUGACUGCAUGGCGAUGACAAGGAAGUUUACCAUCGCGUCGUCACAUGAGGAAUAGGACAUAAAUCCGAAAUCAAAGUUCAUGUAAGGGGCGGAGCAGCGGAUUUAGGUCGGUGGAUGGUUUUUUGGUUCAUCGAUUUUCUCUGAAUCUGAAUAGGUUAUGGGAACUGGUAAGCGGGUGCAGUUUGGGUCAAUUGUUACAACGGCCAAUUAAUUCUACUGUUGGCUUAUCUAUUUAUCUAUUUUGGGUAAAUUAUACUUAACCAAAAAUGACCUCUUCAGUUCAAAAUAACAGCGACAUUCCUCUUGAUUUUCUGGAAAACAGAUUCUCCCUUAUUGUUUGUUAAAUAACAUAAUAAAAAACCUCUCAUAUUCUUAUAAAUUAAGGAAGGAAAAUUAACUAGUCUUGUUGUAAAUUGAAAACUACUAGUAUUAUAAAUGUUGGCUACAUCAAAAGCAUUGAGAAGUGAAGUCGAUGUUAUUUUGAGACCAAGAGGGCAGUUCCUUAACUUUUGCAGAUAUUAGAGGAGAGGUUCGUGUAAUUUAUCCUCCCUUUUCUUAAAUUUUUUUUCUCCAACUAUGCACUUAUUUUCCAGAAUUAUAACAUUUUUAUGUGCGACUUCAACGCAGCAACCUUUUUAAAAAAAUUAGAAUAUAUUUUGCUUCAAUGUUCUGGCUCACCUUCUAUUCCAAUAUGGCAAAACCUGUCGCACAUUUUAUUACGUUGUCAUUUGUAAAAAUUCCAUCUUAACUCAAAAAAAUUUUCCUUAAAGUUCUAAUAACUGUUAAAAGGAUAAAAUACAAAAUAAAAUGGACUGAGAGAAAAAAAUAUAACAAAACACAACAAAUGCUAUACUUUAAAUUUUUUGUUGUAAUUUAUUUAUUUUUACUGUUUGUUGUAUUAAAUUUUUGCUUUCUUAGUAGUUAUUAAGAAAAAAAAAAGAACAUAAGAAUAAAAUUAAAAUUUGUGAAUAAUAGAAAGUGGGACAGAAGAUUUAUUGCAAGUUUUUAUUUUUUCUUAAUAUUACAAAAGGAUAAUUCCGGUUGUGGAAGAAAGCAACCAAACGAAGAGGCCCUUAAAAAAAAUUUUACGUAUAAAAUAUUAAACGAAAUGAAAUUUCUUGACCAGCUCUUUCAGUGUUGGAUGAGAGUUCCAAUUUUUCUUUCUUUUUACAAUUACUAGAAUUGAAUUGAAAAAGACAUAUAAUAAUAUAUGCUUACGAGAAGUUUGCAAGCUGUACUGGUAAUGAUAGAGUAACUAUACAUAAAACCGCACUAUUAGUUUAAACAAAACUACUAGUAAAGCUGGCUAAAUGAUAGUUCCAUUAGUCUGUGGCGCACAAGGUGUAGAAAUGGAAAAUUGAUGAACCAAAGAGUGGAUUGAUUAUGUAUGGUGAUGAAAACUGUAAAGUAUUUUUUUUUUAACCUGGAACAUGCCUCGAUUUGAGUCACUUAGGAUUUGAACCGACACACCAAACAGGGGAUGUACCGCGGCCCCCACGACAACGCACCCAGGUUAGAUGAGGGUUCAAAUUUAAGGUAAGAUUUAAACCCAUGACCUUAUUCAGUUCAAGAGCCUGCUUUAUCGCUAGAUUAUCCCUGGAAACGAAAACUGUGAAGUGUGCGUAAAUUUUUACUUUCUUCUUUUUUUUUUGCAGAAGGUAAAAAUAAGAAAAUAACUUAACCUUUGAAAUGCUAAUUCCAACCAAAAUGAUCCCAGCUAAGGUAAAAUAAUUUGGUCGGUAGUCCCAACUCCAAUUGGCAACGGAGGCAUGAGAUUUUAACAAGUUAUCCCAGAAGUUGGGGGUGGAGGGGAGGUUUAGGCGUGUAGAAGAGAAGGAAAAAGGAGAAAGGGAAAUGGUCGACCUUGUCCUUUAAAACUUCAGUCUUACAAGUAAAACCAGAAAAUGGCAACCUGCGACCUUGAAAUGAGUUCAUGUGUUCCUACUACUACGCUUGAUUCACGACUGUAGUCAAAAGAGGAUUUAUUGUAGGACCAACCAAACCUAAAAACCAAUAAGUAGAAAGUAGUACUUUCUUCUUUUUGGUGUGUGUUUCUGUCAACGAAUGCAUUUAUUCAUCCAAUUCUUUCACACAGUCUAAAAACUGCAGAGGCGGUCACCAGUCUGCACAGAAGCACGUGAGUAGGUCAAAGAAAUUUAUGGGUUUUUAGCACGUUUUAUUUCGACAAUUUUCAGAUGGCUUCCAAACUUCAUGGAAUGGAAGUACGAAUUGAAAUGUGUCUGCUGCUCAGUGGCAAACUUGUGUUUGCGAAAUUGGGCGGCUCCUCGACCAAACUUAUUUACUGCUAAUCAUCCGUACCAUAAUGCUAUAGUUUUCGAUUUUCAGGGCAACGGUAAGUGUUUUUCUUGACGAGGAAAACAAAUUCUAACCAAACACUAUUCCCGACCACUAAGCAAGCCAAUAUUUGCAUUAAAAUAAAUAACUAGCUUAUGAGUUGAGUGGUGAAAAAAGCAAAGAAGCAAAUACUAGAUGAACUCCUCUUCCAUUCUACCAAUAUGAGCACUGUUGGUUCAAGUCGAAAAGUAACCAAGUGAUAAUAGUCAACCGAACAUGUCCUCAAAUCCAACUUGGCUAGCUAGUUAGUAAGGAUAUUAGUUUGAUGACCGUAAAAUCUCUGAUUUGACUCUUAAGUUUUCUCAUUUCCCUCUUCUUCCUUGUAAUGCUUAGAGUCUCUCUUGCUAUCCAAAAAAAUUCAACAAAACAUUUUAAAUUAAAAUAUAUAUAUAUAUAUAAAAUAAGAUAAUAGAAAAUAUACUACAAGUAUGUUCUUGCCAUAUAAAAGAGUCAGAAAUAUAUAUAUAUAUAUAUAUAUACAUAUAUAUAUAUAUAAAUGUAAGGUAUAUAUGUCGUUUGAAUCACUCUUUUAGUAUGAGAAUUACAAAACUAGAAACUAGAAAUCAAGUCUUAAUCAUUAGUGAAUUUAAGUUAAUAAAUAAUCUUUGUCUAAAUAUGUUGUGUAAUGGCCAAAUUUAACAUAAAUAUGGCCAUUACAAUAGUCACAGAAAUUACAAAUUUAGGAAGAAGAAUUGUAAUUGAAAAACUAUAGUAAAAUCAUUUUCUAGAUUUUUAUAUUUUUGAUUAACAAGUAUUGAGAAAUUUCUUGUUCUCACGUGGAAAUUAUUUACACCAUGAGUCACGCACGCAAGCAACAAUUACGACUCAUGACUCAUGACUUGUGCCAAACAGAGCCAGCAAACACUGAUCAAACUAUUGUUGGCAGCGCAUUCUUUCUUUCCAUUUUUCUCCGUGAAUCAGUUAAUUUCCAAACUUAUGAACGUUGAAAUAGGACUUUACUCUCUCUCUGUCUCUGUCUCUGUCUCUGUCUCUCUCUCUCUCUCUUGUUUUCCAUUUAUCAUUCCAUUUUCUCUAAUCUCCUGCCUAUAUAUAGCUUAUGCCAAGCCACACCUUGAGUCAUCACCACAUUCCUACCUAGAGAAAUAUAGGGCGUGCCCCAAGUUAAGGCGCGCACACACAACACACAGAAAACACGUUGAGUCACACCAAAUUAUAAUACCACAGACUUCAUAGCCUAGAGGGAUUGAGUAGAUGGAGUUCGAGAAUCCAAGUUGCCAACUUUUGUCCAAGAUUGCCACCAACGAACAGCAUGGAGAGAACUCUCCUUAUUUUGAUGGAUGGAAAGCAUAUGAUAAUGACCCUUACCACCCUACUCAAAAUCCCAAUGGGGUUAUUCAGAUGGGACUCGCUGAAAAUCCGGUUUGAAUCACAUACCUAGCUAAACUUGUUUCCACGACUAAUUCGUUCUUUAUUCUCGGACGGUAACAUCAAUGUUGAUAUAAUUAGCCUUACUCAUUUCUUGAUUUUUCUUGCGCGCAGUUGUCUUUUGACUUGGUGGAGGAAUGGAUUAGAAAACAUCCAUCAGCAUCCAUUUGCACCAGUGAAGGAGUACAAAAGUUCAGGGACAUAGCCAUCUUCCAGGAUUAUCAUGGCUUGACUGAAUUCAGAAAUGUAUGUCAAUAAUCAAGACCAUCUCCAAGCUAACUUGCUUUUGGUUCCCAAAUUCUCACAAGAGAGAAAAUACGUGCUCUUUUCUUUACACGAUUUCCUUCAAAUAUUAAUGCAGGCUGUGGCAAGGUUUCUGGGGAAAGUAAGAGGAGGUAGAGUCACCUUUGAUCCAGCUAGAAUAGUGCUGGCAGGAGGAGCAACAGGAGCUAGUGAGCUGAUCACCUUUUGUUUGGCUGAUCCUGGGGAUGCAUUUUUGGUUCCUACACCAUAUUAUCCAGCGUAAGCUUCAUUCUCCAUCUUAGUAUUUUAACUGAAAUUUUCGACUUUGGUGUGGACAUUCAUUUAGAAAAUACUACAAUACUAGAAAGAUAAUGGUCGUAUGCUAAGUUGACAAGUCAAUACGUAAUUUGCAAGUAUCUUAAACUUUUCAGAACCGUAUCCUGUAAAGUCAAUCUGGAAAUUGAAACAUCCUUAAACCCAAUGGACAUUUGGCAUGAGCAGUAUACAAAUUUGUAACAGCCUGUCCCCAUAUAAUUUUCAGCAGUGACUGUAUUCUAUCGAAUAUUUUCUUUCCUACGCACAAUCGGGUUCCCACAGGAUGGUACGCCGUCAAAGGGUUAUUGUCAGCUAGGGUAUACAUUGACCUUACAACUACGGAGUUUUCGGAUAUCUCAUUAUUUGGAAACAAAUACUUAGUCAAUUUACAUCAUAAAUAUAUUUUUUAAUCAUUCUUUUUAUCUUUUUAACAAUAUUUUUAUCUUACAUAUAAUAAAUCGUAAAAAUUGUAUUACAGUGUUAUAAUAAAUAAAUUUUCCAAAUAUUGGAUAGCCAAACACCUUUCUGGACACCAAAAAAAAAGAAAACAGAAAAAAGCCCAAAUCCAUAUGUAUCGUUAUAAUACUUUAUAAUUAUUGUUGCUACGAUUUUUACAAUAAUUUCCAUAACUCACAAAUACAGCAAUGUUGUUUGUACUAUGCAGAUUUGACAGAGACCUAAAAUGGAGAACCGGAGUGCAGCUAAUUCCAGUCAUCUGCGAGAGCUCAAACAAUUUCAAGAUCACCAAAGAAGCGCUGGAGGAGGCAUUUGAAAAUGCUAAAAAAUCCAGCAUCAAAGUCAAAGGCGUGAUAAUUGCAAAUCCAUCUAAUCCACUAGGCCACUGUGGAGAGAGAGACGCAAAUAACAUUGGUAAACUUCAUCAAUGAGAAACAAAUCCACUUGGUUUGCGACGAAAUUUAUUCGGCGACCAUCUUCAGCCGUCCGAAUUUCAUUAGUAUAGCUGAAAUCAUAGAAGAAGUGGAAUGCAACCGGGACCUCAUUCAUAUAAUCUAUAGCUUGUCCAAGGACAUGGGCUUCCCUGGAUUCAGGGUUGGCAUCGUUUACUCCUAUAACGAUGCAGUCGUAAACUGUGGUCGGAAAAUGUCCAGUUUCGGACUAGUCUCCUCACAACACAACACUUUCUGGCCUCAAUGCUAUCGGAUGAUGAUUCAUUGACCAUUUUCUUAAAACAAGCUCCAUGAGACUUGCAAAAAGACAUCAAACAUUUACCAGCGGGCUUGAAGAAGUCGGGAUAAAGUGUUUGAACAGCAAUGCAGGUCUUUUCUGUUGGAUGGAUUUACGUCCAUUGCUCAAAGAACCCACGUUCGAGGCAGAAAUGGUGCUUUGGAGGUUGAUCAUACGUCAAGCUCAAUGUCUCUCCAGGCUUUUCGUUUCAUUGCGUUGAACCCGGUUGGUUUAGGGUUUGCUUUGCUAAUAUGGAUGAUGAAACUUUAGAGAUCGCACUAAAAAGGAUAAGGAUCUUCAUCCAAGCGACAGAGAAGAAAUCAGAUGUGACUGCGAAGAAGAGGAAACAGUGGUAAAAGAUCUCAGGCUUAGUUUCUCUGAGGAAGAAGACGUGAAUGUUAAGAAGCCUGAAGUCACCUAGUGUGACGUCUCCUCAUUCUGCUAUGUCUCCGGCACAGCUGGUCCAGACCAGGACUUGAUCAUGACGAUAUUAGCAUUAGCUAAGUAACAACAUUAAUAUUAAUAGUACAAGCUAGUUUAUUGCAUUAGGCACAAGUUGUUUGGUAUGACAAUAAUUUAGUUGUUUUUUGUUAUUAUUUCUUUCCAAGUAACUAAUUGGAAAAGUAAUAAUUGGUUAGUAAUUACCUUUCAAGUACUAGAAUUAUUAACUUAUAUAUUUUGUAUCCAAGAGGGUGUCAUGAUUACUCUUGGACGAGUUGAAUCCAACCUUUAUGUUAUCCCUAUAUGUGUAGCUGCUUUAGUGAAAUAAGUUACUACAUGAUAUAUAGUUUAAUACUUGAGUCUAGCCGUCUUUCUUUUCUUUUCUUUUUAAUGAAGAUGCCAAAUAGAUUAUUAGAAGUUAUAACCUCUCUUUUGCAAUUCCAUGUUCUUCUGAAGGGUAUUUUUCAUACUGCAAUUCAUUUUUGUUAACCUCGAAGCCUCUUAUAUACGAGUUUAACGAGAAAACCAAUUUUUAAAGCAUUAAGUGGAAUUAUUGAUAAGCUUUAAGAUCUCCAAUACGAUGGUGGAUAGUACUGGACACUAAUGAGUAAUGUAAUAGGAGGAGGAAAAAUGAGCACAAACAUUAAAGUUCUAAUAUUGUUUGACCCUUUGUUGCAUUAUCUCUGACUAAAUGUAUAAAAGCAAAUAGACUAAUGAGAGACGAGGCCAAUUAGCAUUAUUCUAGCUAAUUAAGUAUGGAAGAUAAUCUCAACAUGACACAAUCGCACAGUUGGGUUGUAAUAUCUCAUGGACGGCAGUUAGUUGUCACCAGAAAUGCUCAUUCUCGUGAUACAAGUUCUCUCAACAUCAAUACCUAUAAUUAAUCACAUGCAAUCUCAAUUUGGUACUGCAUGUUGAUUUCUCCUAAUUAUAUGAUGGUACAGUAAAAGUGUGACAGAUCUAUGUAUACCUAGAUUUGCAAAAGUCUUAACCAGGAAUUGGUCAGCGAUAUACACCACGUGCAAUAUUUAUUUAUCUUCAAAUUGAACAUCAACUACAAAGGCAAAUAAACCACUGAGUUAUGGCUCAGUGGCCAUAAAAAGGGACUAAAUCCUCUUUGGAUCGUAAGUUGAGGGUUAACCCUACCUACAGUCAAAAAAAAAAAAACCUAAAUAAGGUGCUAGAGCAUUCCUUUGUUUUAAUCAGAUCUGUAUACCUGCUACCCCUAACCAACCUCUAAAUUCUCCCUCCUUGUAAAAAUGAUAGAUUAGGUUCCUAUAAAAUAGAAUAAAUUAAGUUAUAUGAUUGUUAUCGUUAUGAAAAAAAAACAUGCAAGGCGGAACUAAGAUGGCCCGGGGAGGGACAACCUUCUCCCAAGUUCUAGAAAUUCAUGCCUUGUUCCACACUAUAUAGUUUAUCUCAAUCCGUAACUUUUAAUGCUUACAAAAAAUGGAUGUUACUAAUAUUCUCUGAUUAGAUCUUUUCAGAAUUGAGUAGAACAGGUUCAAGGCUAACAUAUGCUGAAAUAGCUGUCGGACGCAUAUAAAGACUGCAUCGGCCAUCCGACAACCAUUGAGUAACUUCGGAUGCAUGAAGAACCCACUCUCGGACGUCCGAAGAUGAAACCAAGUCCUCUAGGCCAAUUGACCUCGAUCGGAGUACAACACCUAAGUACCAGGCCGUCCGAUAAACGUUACGACACUUCGGACGCAAAACAUUGGAGCACCGGACGUCCUGAACGAAUUGAAGUAGAAUUUCCAGUUUUACAUCAUACCUUCGGACGCAUAUUAUGAAGGUACGGACGUCCUAAAAUAUUUCAAGAAAACUUCUUGAAUCUCAUGCCUGCGUUCGAUGCAGAAAACUAGCCUACCGGACGUCCAACACCACCAACGGCUAGUUGACUCUUCAACUGCCUUCUAUCCGUUGGUAGCAUUAAUUGAAAAUUUUUUGGUCUCCUAUGAAAAGGAAAAAGUCAAACACUUCAGACAACUUUCGCACAUUGAGACUACAUCAGAUCUUGAGUGAUUCAAGUGUGAGAAUACUUUUUAAAGAAGAUUUGUACUUAGUUGUGGAACUUUCAAUAAACUUUUCAAGUGUGUUUCUAUUUCUUCAAUAGUAUAGCUUUGUGAGGGUUAUCCGAGUGAUAGUAAAACUUCCUUGCUUGACCAGUGCCGGCUUGGGACGAGGAGGAAGUGAUCCUUCCUUUGUACACAAGAGAUUUGUUGUAAGUUGAUCAACUUGAAGAACUUGCUAUUUAAAGUGGUAUUCAAACUCAAAUAGAGUUUGAAACUUGUUUGCUAUUCUAUCCUUUUUCUUACUGUCUUGCAAUAGAAAUUGUCUAUCUCUUCUACUCCCAAGCACUUGUGCUUACUCAUCAAUUGCUCCAUUGUGUGAUCUUUAGAAAAAGAGGGCAAUUCUCAAAAAGUGACUCAUAUCUGGCUAACUUUUAAAACCCUAAUUUACCCCCAUAUAUAUAAUUUUCUAUAUAUAUAAAACUAUUUGUCUCCUAAAGCUUUUUUUUUUAAAAUUAUAUGUUGACUUCAAAGUUUACAUGUGAAUGCGUUUCAUCCCCUCAAACUAAAUUUUCUAGUUUUGUCAUUGAUCAACUAAUCAUGACAAUUACUAUUUAGGGGAAUCUGUACACAGCUUAGAUGUUCCUUUGAAGUAAAAUAAUAAUAAUGAUAUUACUUUAUUAUAGCAUGCAUGAUUCUAGGAUAAUUAAUUUUAUUUUCAUUAGGGUUUGAAAGAGAGAAUCUAAAGAAAAUGAAAAUUCAUCGUACUACGUAUCUUAAUAUCCAAUUUUUUAUAAAAACAACAAAAUUAGUGAAAUUUAAGAAUGAUAAAGAAAUAAGGUUGAAAUACUAGCAUUAACAUUUUAGAAAAGAGUUUUUUAGAGGAAAAUUCUAUUGGAUAAUAAGUGAAGAAUGAUAAUAAUGUAUAUAUAUAGCAAAGUACGCCAAGGAGGGUUUAGUAUAGUGACGAAAGUUGAGGUUCAAAAUUUAGAGGUCUUAGAUUCUAACUCUAAUCUCUCUUUUCUUUCUACGCUUCUUAAAUCUCACCCCUUCCCUACUAGAAAAAUUUAAAAAGAAUACAUAUGUGUGUGUAUUGAGUAGUACAUGCGAGAAAAAGUACUAAUUUUUUUUUUUAGUUCAUGGGACCAUAAAUGGCUAAUGUCAACUGAGUUGAAUCUCUCAGUUUAUUUUAUUUUUAUUUUUAUUUUUAUUUUUUGCAGUAGGUGGAUUUCCACUAGACCUAUAUUUGAUUUCAAAAUGUAUUUCAUUUUGGAUAGAAUUUACCAAUUGCAAGGGCGACCAGAGCACCACAAAAAGGUACCUACUUGAAGCCUUGACGCCCAUGCUUGCUCGCACUUUAUGCUAGAUUUCAAACAAACUAAACCCUUGAAUGUUUUCUUUCACACUUUAGCUUUUGAAUUUAAAGGAUGAGUUCCAGAGUGAUUUUCCAUUAAACAAAUGGUAUACAGUUGGUGGCCAGUCAUAUUAUUAAUCGAAACCAUGCUUCAUGAACUCAACUAGACGUGCAAUUAAUUAUAUGGCCAUCUGCUUGGAUCUUGCAAGUCAACCGAAUCACCUAAUAUAUUGCCAGAUAACGUGGAAAUAUUUAAGCAUUUCGAUAUUCUUCAAGUUACUAAAGAAAUGCCCCAUGAGGGCCAUGACUUAAGUAUGUUAUGCCCAAACUUUAUCGUGAGAUUUCACAAUUUCAUGCUAAGCCUCAUUCACCUUCCCUAUGGAAACUUCUAUGCUUAGGUCUCACUACUAACCAUCUCCUAGGAAGACGUAGCCUCCUAUUGUGGGCAAUUUGCAUGAAUCACUGUAAUAUAUACGCUGGUGGUAUGCUACUGGUUUUGGAACACUUGGGAUCCUUGGUUACAUCUUUCCUGCACCAAUUCAAUGCCACCUCUAGCAUUGUGCCAAGUAUCCUAUUAUUAUUUGCACUUUAAUUUUCAAAUAAUUUAAAUUGGUUUGAUUUAACAUAAGUUUUCUCUACCCUCUAAAACUUUGAACCAAAAUUAAUCGAUCGGUCUAAUUCAUACUUUAAAUUAUUAGAAAACUUGGCGCAAUGGAAAGGUGGAAAUUACUUGUAAAUACUAGGACCAGUCUACAAUUGAUUACGAGGAUCCCAAGUGUCCACCAAAUGGUAAAUACUAGGACCAGUCUACAAGUAGAAGGGCAAAGCCAAAAUUACAUUGGAAAGGCAGAAAUUAAGCCCUGCUGCUAUCGUAAUCAAUGACCUCAGAAUCAGUAAGGGACCUGGAAUGCUGCACAAUUGAGCGUCCGAUGGAGUUGAUCAAAUCUUCUUUCUCCUUCUCCGAAUCAGCCACGAAGUACAUGGUAUCCCUACUAGUGGAGAGCUCGAAAGAGAAGGGCUUGUUGAGGACGUCCUCGGCGCCUUUGACGGUGAGGCAAUCGGCAGUGGAGAUGACGCCAUGUGGAAUGGCGGAGCUGGUGGAGGAAUCAAAAGGACAACGUCGUUGAAGUGUGGACCUCAUCGGAGUGGAGAUGACACCACUACUUUCAGGGACUUUUCUCUUUUUGGCUUUUUCAAAGCAAUCAACAAUGAAAGCGUUUGAAGGCAAUCAAUGAUGAAAGUAUUGGUAUACGAAUUAGACUGGUCGGUUCAUUUUGGUUCAAAGUUUUAGAAGGUAGAGAAAACUUGUGUUAAACCAAACAAUUUGAAUUAUUAGAAAAUUAAAGUGCAAAUAAUAAUAGGACACUUGGCGCAAUGCUAGAGGUGACAUUGGGUUGGCACAGGAAAGAUGUAACUGAGGAUCCCAAGUGGUUUUGGAACAGAACAACCUUCUCAUCCUCCUAAAGUUUUACUACCAAAAAAGUUACAAAUAGGAAAUGAGGUCCCAAAAAUUGAAUCUUGCUUUAAUUUUGAUUGGCAAGUGAAAGGGUAAUUAAUUACAUACCUUGUGGGUGGAUCUUGUAAGUCAACCUAAAUGUCCUAUUAACAAAUAAUGUGGAAUAUUCUGGCAUUUCGAAAUUCCAAACAUAACUGAAUAAAUCUCCUUAAAGGUUACGACCUAAACUUUUGUAUCAUAUGAUCCCAACUAUUGAAUUCCGCUAUUAUCCUUGCUUACGUUUCUACUUUCUAGGACAUGAUUACCCUGGCUAUACACCACCUAACAAAGAUGAGAAAAGUGAACAAGUCUGAGGUGUGGACAAAUUACCCUGGCUAUACACCACCUAACUGAUAAAAUUCACCUUGAAUUGUAACACUUUUGUGAAAAAGAUGACAUAAAACCCCCACUUGUUAUUGUAUGCCUUUGAGGUAACAAAUAGAUGAAUUCUUUUUAUUAUCUACAAAUAUCAUUUUAAUUGAAGAAUGAGCGGGGCUCAGUCUUGGGACACCCUGGUACGAUUUUUGAGUCCUUUUCCGGGCAUAACAUAUAUAGAUAAUAAAUUCAUUGGGGUUUAUUUUGUUAGAAUUUCGAAAUGCUCAAAUACCUCCAUCUUAUCUGGCAGACAAGAUAUUAGAUCCUAUCACGUAAUGCAGUUGGCCACCAAAAAUAUACUGAUUUGAGUAGAAGGUAAAACUAAAUUCAGUUUUUUAAUGGUUUUUUCUUUAUUGUAAAUGAGAUGAUUUGAAUCUAAAAUCUUUUACUUACAACCUGCUAUCUUUUCACCCAACCGUCCCCAGUGAAACUAAAUUCAGUUGGUGUAAUAUAAGUGUAAAUUAGUUUGCACAACGAAUAAUUUCUUUCUUCUAUUGUCUUCACUUAACACCGAGUUGAAUAUUAUAACUUUAAAAUAUGAGCACCUUAGAUGUAUCUGUGUGUACAUUAAGUUCAUCUGUUUUUGUUUUAAAAUUUCAAUAGUGUUAUCAGUUUAUUAUUAUUAUUAUUGUUAAUUUUCUUUUGAAUAAGAUGGUGCUUUUUAUUAAUCAUCAGAAACAGAACCUGUACAAAGUUGUCCUGCUACAUCAAAGCAGAACUGCAAAAUUGUGCUAAACCAUCUAUACAUGUUCAGUUAAUCAAAGAAAAAACCAAUCCAUGAGGCACUUCUGAUCUAAAAUCCAAUCCAAUGCUAGCUCCAAAUUUUCCUUGACACGAGGGGCUUUAAGCCAAUAAACAUAGCUAAUUACACCAUCCUCUCCACAGCUGCAACUAGUUGUGCAUUAGAACUUGUAGAUUGCUGAAAAAUCCUCUUAUGCCUCUCCUGCCAAAUAUACCAAACCGCGGCAAUAAACACCAUUCUUCUGAGCUUAGCAGCAAAAAUAUCAGUGGUCACAUGUUUACUCCACCAAUUUGUUAGCUUCAUGAGUCAAGGGUUAUAUCCCACAUUGAUUCAAAAGAUGAAAAAAAAGCAGUUAAUAUAUAAGGGUCCAAGAUCUAAUAAUUUAAGCUUUUGGGUCAGAGUUGGGUUUCUGACUUACAUAUUGGACUCUUUGGUGGACUUUCUCAAGGUGUUUCUCUCCUAUCAAAUUGGUAUCAGAGUUUCAGGUUGUGAGAUUGAGUUACUCAUGGGCAAGUAAAUUCUUCGCAAAGUUGGACCGGUAAAAAUUCUCUUCCUCGUGAUGGACCAAAAUGCCAAGGAGUUUGGGUAGUGUUGGACCAGAUGCGCCACGGGUUUGGCAAGGUGUUCGGUUGGUGUUAGACCAAGGAGCCUGAUAAGUGACUAAUUUACGUAAUAAUUGAAUGACAUUUUAUGUUAUUUUUAGUCACUUUGGUUAUAUUAUUGGAAGAAAAUGAAUUAUUUUGGCUAUAAUUGGUGAAAAAAAUGUUCUUAAGUGAUUAAAUGAGGUUUUUAUCACUUUUUACUUGCAUUUUGUGCAUUUUUGACAGUUUUGACACAUUUUAGUAUUUCGACUAUAACUUGAGCUACAGUGAUCGGAUUGAGAUGAUUCUUGAACUAAUUUGAAGAUAAGAGAUAGAACUACAACUUUGGUGAAGACAUUGAAACCCAGUUUUAAGGUUUUCUAGGUCAAAAAACUGAAUUACAGUAGCCAAUUUCUAUUGGUCGAAGCUGAAACAGAGCAUUGAGCAGUCAAGGGUAUUUCAGUCAUUUCGCAGCCUACACAAAUCCAAAUGAGGUGAUUCUUGAUGUAUUGGAAAUCUAACUCAAAGGGCUACAAGUUUUAUGUUUUGGUCAAGAGUUAAAUCAGCUUCUAUCAUCAAGAAAAGUUCAAUUUAAGCUGAGGCAAAAUCGGAUCAGAGCUGGAAAUUGAACAGAAAUUGCACAAAAAGUCACUGCAGCAAUCCAGCCUGAACUUGGCCGGAUUUAUGGGCGGAUUGUGGUCAGAAAAGGCUGCUCUCUACGCGGGCAACUUGUUUUCACCUCCAACAAGUCACAUGUAAUGCUAGACAUGUAACAAACACUUUGCAGCUAUAAAAGGGAGGUGUAAACCUCAUUCCUUGACCACCUUUUACCUUUAUAUAGCCAAAAACUUGCAAGAUUGAAGGAGAGACAUACGGGAGAAGCUUGGAGUCUGCAGAAAUGUAGCUCUUCCAUUUUCUUAGUGUGAGGUUAGUAUAGUAUAGGAUGGUUUAGCUAGUUAGUUCAUCCUUCUUGUUUAUUAGCUAGAUGAAGAAGAGGUUGGAGGAUGAAGAAGGCAAGGAGAUGAACUCAUGUGACAAGAGUUACAUUCUUUUCCAACUCUUUAUCUUUUGUACUUGAUUCCAAGUUUAGUUAAUAUACAAGUUUUGGAUUUUAUGUUUAUUAUGUGUUUCUAAGGUUUAUACCUUGGGUUUGGUUGAACUUUCUAUGAUUGUUAGUGUUUAUUAUUUGGUUAUUUGAUGCUAUUAUUUGAGCAAGUAUUUGGCACUUUAGCUCUUUCAAUCAUAAUUCAUCUGGUAUCAUUAAUUGUGAUUAUCUAAGGUAUUGUUUCUGCAAUAAAAAUUGAGAUUUAACACUGGUUCAAGAAGUGUUAAACAUAGGGAGUACACUCACGAGAGUAGAGGUGCACCUAUGUGGUUUUAGUGAUUCAUUUCAUGUAAUUUCAUUGAAAAAAUGAACUUGUAGCUAAUUUCAUAACCAUGAGAAUAUGUAUGGAUUAGUUAUGAGUAUAAUUAAUUCACUACGAAAGUAAGAUUCAUAUGCAUAAGGAAAUUACACCAUAACUAGCCUAGAUAGUAGUACUCAAUGAUCCAAAUAUAGCACUUGCAUGAGUAGUUAGGGAUGCCAUAACCUAAGGAGCUUCAUUUGUUAUUUUCUUGUAUAAGUUCAGUAGGUUUUACUUGUUAUAAUUCAUUGAUAGUCUAAAUAAUAGAGAAGCUUUAGUAGUGCCGGUAAUUGUUCAAUCUUUCUCGUGGGAUUGACCCAAUAUAUACCCUAAACUACUAGUUGACCUGUAUACUUGCAGUGAAACGGGUGUAAAUCGAAUUUUUUAACUUGUACGUAUAAUAAAAACCCGUCAAGUUUUAGCGCCAUUGCCGGGGAAGAUAUGGCAAUAUCGGUGUGAAGAGCAACUUUAUUAGUUAAAUAUUUUAUUAGUUGUCUAGUGUGUAUUGAAUGUUAUUUUAUUUUAUUUUUGUGUUUUAUGUUUGAAUCAUCUAUUCUUCUUACUAAUUUUGCUCUUAAGUUGUUUAAAAGCAAUUUUAGGUAAUGAGGAGGGUAGGUCAAUUUGGAGACAAUGCUUGAGAAAUGGAAGAUUGGCAAUGGAUGGUUACCAAGUGCAAAGCUCCUUCAAUACAGGUAACCAAGAAAUUACUGAAGGUAUGUCUUUUGAAGAUGGUUUAAUGUGCUUAAAGGAAAAAAUUGAUGUGAUUAUGUUACAAGUUCAAACGGACAUAAUUAUGCAUGAAAUUGAGCAAGGGAGGAAUGCUAAUACUUUUAAUUCUUAUCAUGUGAUUUGUGACUUGUGUGGAGGUUAUCAUGCUACUAAUACAUGUCGACAAGCACAAAAUGUGGAUUACUAUGAUGAAUUAGAGCAUUACAAUGCUUAUUUUGAUUAAUAUAGUGCUAAUUGGAGCCAUUCUCCUGCUUAUGGUUGGGAUAAUCAAUAUACUUAUAGUAAUUCUUCAUAUUUUUAUAAUUACCAACCUGUAUGUGUCCAAUAUGAACCAAAUCAUCAUGGGAGUUGGCAAUAGAAAGAGUUGCUAAUGAUUCUAAGCCAUCUUGGGAGUUAGCUAUAGAAAAAUUAGCUAAUGUGACUUCCGACCGUUUUGAUAGGAAUGAGGAAAGAAUAGAUGAAUUAGCUUCUCACUUUGGUAGAAUACAUGAGCAAUUGAAUGCAUUGUGUGAAGUUAUUUCUUCUAAUAAUUUGUAAAAUGAUCCUAGCAUGAAUGGUGGUAAUGUUAUAUGUGAAAAUGGAUUGCAUUUUGAUGAAAAUGAUAAAUCUCAAUUGUGUUUCAAUGAGCAAAUAUCCAUUUCACAUGAUAAUAUCUUUGGGACUAACUUCGAACCUCAAGAGGUGAGUUUCAAUGACUCAUUUUUCAUCCCUCUUGAGGAGUGCAUUGAAGGUAUAGGUUCUAAGGGUAUUGCUGCCCAAGAUACUCUCAUGGAAUUUCCUUUGGUGAGUUCUCAAGUGGUGAAUAUUCAAGGUAAUAUCUAUGAAACACUUGGAAUAGAUAAAUCACUUCCAUCCCUCAUAUUAUUAGAACACGUGACUUUUGCUAUUAAAUCACCUUUUAAUGAUCCACCACGGUCUAAAAUGGUGGAAUAUUCGUUAACUAAACCUCCUUGAUAAUGAGGUGAAAUAGUCAAGCUAAUGAGUAUAAAGAAGCGCUUGUUGGGAGGCAACCCAACGAUUUCUUAUUUUUAGUAAGUUUUAGUUGUUUAAUUAGUGUUUUUGUGUGUUUUAUAGGUGGCAAUGACAAUGGUAUAGGCAAUUGUUUCAAGAGCAAAUAGUUUAGAAGAAAGCAAAAAGGGAAUAUUCUUGUUCAAUUAGUAUUCUUGUUCAAUUGAUCCUUUUGAUGCAUUUAAAGUGCUUUAUUCUAAAGUUAUAUUGAUGCAUGAUUUCAUGUUUCAAAGUGCAAAUGGUCGAGAAAGCACAUUUUUUAUGUUUAAGGUGAAUUUUUCUUGAAGAAAGUGAAAAAAGUUGAAAAUUGGGUGAGUUAAAACUUGAUCAAACAGGAAAUUGGAGGAAAAAACUGCAGAAAUCAUGGCCAGAUAUACAGGGGAGGCGAAACAAAAUUUUUUUGGCUCUCUACCUCGAAUCCGGCCGGAUAUCGGGCCAUUUUCCGGCCGAAUAUGCAGUAUAUAUAACAAAAAAAAAAUGCUUGGCCAGAAUCCGGUCGUAUAUCCGGCCAGUGUUGCACAAUAAGGGGAAUCCCAACUUUCUUCUUUCCUUCUUCUUCAACCUUCACACACACUCACACCUUAAACACACACCACUCCUAUAAUCCAUCUUUUCACCAUAAAUUCUCCCAACCAAAUACACCAAAACACUUCCGUUUCCCUUGAGAGUUGAUUCUAUAGCUUAAAUUCCUUCAAAAACAAGUUUUAAUUUGGAUUUGAGCUUGAGAAGAACAAGGGUUUCACAUUUUUUAACUCUUCAUUUGAGACCGAAUUGGAGUGAAAUUUUUGGGAGUUUCUUCACUAUUUGCAUCCAUAAUCAUUCACAAACAAGUUUGAGGUAACAAAUCUUCAUCAAAUAUUGUCAUUUGAAUUUUGCCAUUUAUCACUUUUUCUAAUUUUGGGCAAUUUCGAAUUUUUUCUCAUUUUGUGAGGUUUGAUGCUUUUUAUUAUGUUUAUUGAGCUUAUUGAUGAUUAUUGGUGAUGUUUAACUCAUGGGUUUAUGAUUAUUUGGUGAAUUUAGCAAUUUUUAGCUACUUUUGAGGAUUAAUUUGAUUUGAUAUUUAUUAGCUAAAUUCUUGAGCUAAUUGGAUUAAAGAAAAAUGUAGAAGAUUAAUGGAUUGCUCUAGGACAUUUACAUGCUAAAUUUAGACUUAAUUGGUUUAUCGUUUGGUUUUUAGCAUGUUUAUUCUAGAAAUCCACAUUUUUGGCAUGUUUAUUCUAGGCUUAAUUGGUAAUGCUCUAAUUCAUCAUAGUAAUCCACAUUUUGUGCUUGCAUACAUGUAUUAAUAGCAUGAUAACCUCAAGAAUCAUUUAAUUUGGAGAUUUGUGGACCGAGAUAUGACCAAAAUACCAAAAAUUGGUCAGAGCUCUGUUUUCAACUUUGGACAGCAGUGUUGAACUUUGGUAUUUCGAUCUUUUGACUGAGAAAACGGUUAAAUUGGACUCUGAUGUUUGCAUACCAAAUUUAGAUACGUCUCUUAGCUUCAAAAUGGUUUAAGAAUCAUUCCAAUCCAAUAUAUAUAGCUCAAUAUAUAGCCAAAAUACCAAUAGUUGCCAAAACUGAAUUUUCUUGAUUCUUUUGUUCUCAAAUUGCAUUUCUCCUUUUACACUUCAUAUUUUAUUUUCAUCUCUUUAAACCAUCAUCAAUCAUCCAAUUAUCUUCUCAAUGUACUCCAUUUAAUGAUUGAAUCAUUAAACUUACAAAAUAUAAAAUUUUUAUCAUAAAAAUGCAAUUUUUACACAUUAACCAUAAAAUGUAUAUUUCCACUAGAAACUUAGUUUAUUAGCUAUAAAAUUAAAUAAAACACGCCAAAACUAUUUAAUAAAACACACUAAAAAUAUGUAAAAUAUAUUCUUAUCAAAUACCCACACACUUGAACCAUUGCUUAUUCUCAAACAAUAAGAAAUACCAACCAACAAUGAUCCAAAGAUUGAAAAUAAAUAUAUGUGCACCAUCAACUUCAUUUUCUCAAAAAAUAAGGUAAACAACCAUUAUGUAAUCACUCUAUUAAGUUCAAUUACUCAUAAUAUCAAGUAAAGAAAGGCCAAUUAUACCGCCAUUAUAACACAUUCAAGUCAAUUUCUCAUUCUUACACAAUUUUACAAGCAAGUAACUCAUAUGGUCAACAAAAUACUUCCUAAACCCAUGAUCAUCUUUUUAUUUUACUUAAAGAGGUAUUUAUUCAUAUAAUAUAGCUAAAUAUAUACUUAAGUUGUGAAAGUAUUUUUUUACGCGAGAAUUGACAUUUUUAGAUGAAAAUGACUGGUUACUCAAUACUUCACAUACUUAAGUUACGUUAUAUACUCUUAAUUCAAGUACCGUUUUACGCAAAAAUUGACAUUUUUAGAUGAAAACUCCCGGUUACUAAGUACAAGAAUCAUUGGGGUAGAAUAACUCUUAUUCACUUUUUAACUUUUUCUUUUCUUUUUUUAUACCUUUUUAUUUUAUACUCUUUUUUUUCAAACCAAAAAUAAUAACAUUCCUCCAAAAGAAUAAUCCUGAGAAGAGUAUUGCCACUAUUGACCAUACUUAUUACUUAACUUAUAAAAUCAAAUAAAAAAAAAAGAAAUUUCAUCAAAUAUGCAAAAAAAUAUAGGCAUAAUUUUCUCCACUUUAAAAGAUAUAUUUUCCUACAAAUGCAAAAUUAUAAUCACAUAAUAGUCAUUUCCAAGUUAAAUGAGAAAAGAAGUUUUCAAAUCAUAUAUAUUUUUCUCAAAUGUAAAAGGAAUUUGAACUACUAAUGGUAUGGAACUUAUUGCCCUUUGGAUAAAAUUGAAAAAAUUUAAAACAUUUUUGGGGCAACUUUGCAAUUUUGGACAAGAAAAAUUUUGAAUUUUACUACAAGUCCAAUAUUUGCAACUAAUAAGUCAAUCAUAUACAAUGUAUAUAAUCUCAAUUCUUCCCCCCACACUUAACAUGCACAUUGUUCUCAAUGUGUAAAAAGAAAAAUUAAGAUAAAAAAAGUAAUACUCCCCUUUUGUUGCGAUUGAAACAUCAAAGCAUUAAGUUCACGAGCCAUUGUCCACCUAUCUCCACAACUUCAUUAGUUUCAUUUGAUAACCAUUAGUAAUAUUAACCUAAAGGUGGAAAAUAAGAAACAAAGGUGAUAACAAAGGCAUUAAGAAACAUAUAACGGCGAUCCGUAACUCCUAUGCCUUUGUCUUGGUGAUGUACCUAUAGAAAAUACACAAUAAACUACUCAAGGUACAAGGGAAUUCAUGAGGAAAAGAAGAAAAAGAGAAUCAAGGAACCUGCAUUCUUCUUUAAAAACAACCUUAAAAACGUGUCUGCAGAAAACGCGCCUAUGAACUCGUGUUUUGGAGUCGCGUUUUCUGCUGUAAUGAUGCAGAAUACAAUACGCGACUUCAACUAAUACGUGACUUGGAGUCGCGUUUUCCUUGUUGUUGGGGCAGAAUUGAAUACACGGCUCAUGAAUACGCGACUUCAAGUCGCGUAUUUCCGAGCUCGCGUUUUCAAUUUCUGCAGUUUUUCCGCAGAAAUUUUGUAACUUUCAAAAAAUAUGACUUUUACCCCAAAUGCUCAAAAUGCAUCCUAGAUCAUUCUUUUGCCAAAAUAUUCAAUGCACGCACAUGCAAAACGAUCAAAACAUGCAUUUUAACCCCUUCUAACGAAUCAAAAACAACAAUUAUUCAAAUCGAGGGGUUGAGUUCCUUGAUCAAAUUUCAUCUUUUUCACCUCAUUUGGUCACUUUUACUUUCAUUUCCAAUACCUAUAAAUGAAAAAUAACGAAAUAACUCAAACAUAUAAUUUAAACAUAAAAUCACACCAAUAUAAUGUAAAGUACUAAAACAUUAGGUCGCCUCUCAACAAGUGCUUUUGUUUCUAGUCGUUGGCUCGACAAUUGAACCUCAUUUUUCAAGGAGGUUUCGUUGUCAUGAGAAUAUCUUGGAUAGCAAUACCCUUAGAACCUAUACUUUCAAUGCACUCCUCAAGAGGGGCAAAAAAUGAGUAAUUACAACUCACCUCUUGAGAUCAAGGUUAGUUCCAAAGAUAUUAUCAUGUGAAAUGGACAUUUGCUAAUUGAAACACAAUUGAGAUUCAUCAUUUUCAUCAAAAUGCAAUCCAUUUUCACAUACAACAUUCCCACUAUUCAUGCUAGGGUCAUUUUGCACAUUAUUAGAUGAAAUAACUUCACACAAUACAUUCAAUUGAUCUUGUAUUCUACCAAAGUGAGAAACUAAUUCAUUUAUUUUUUCCUCAAUCCUAUCAAAAUGGUCGGAAGUCACAUUAGCUAAUUUUUCUAUAGCUAACACCCAAGAUGGCUUAGAAUCAUUGGCUACUUUUCUAUUGCCAAUUCCCAAAAUGGUUUUGAUUCAUAUUAGACACAUUCAGGUUGGUAAUCAUAAAAAUAUGGAGAAUCGCUAUAUGCACAAUGAUUAUCCCGACCAUGAGUAGGAGACUAGCUCCAAUUAGCACUAUAUUGAUCAAAACAGGGAUUGUAAUGCUCUAAUUCAUCAUAAUAAUCCACAUUUUGUGCUUGCAUACAUGUAUUAAAAGCAUGAUAACCUCUACACAAGUCACAAAUCAUAUGAUAAGAAUUAAAAGUAUUAGCAUUCUUCCUUUGCUCAAUUUCAUGCAUAAUGGUGUCCUUUAGAACUUGUAACAUUAUAUCAUCAAGUUUAGCCUUUAAGCACUUCCAACCAUUUUCAAAAGACAUACCUUUGGUAAUUUCUUGAUUACCUCUAUUGAAGGAGUUUUGCACUUGGUAACCAUUCAUUGCCGAUCUUCCACUUCUUAUGCAUUGUCUCUCCAUAUUUUCUACUCUCCUUGAUCCCCUAAGCAUGUCUUCAAAAUAACUCAAAAACAAGUUUAGUUAAGAAGAAUAGAUGACUCUAACAUAAAAAAAACACAAUAACUCACAAACAAUCUAAAAACAAAAAUUGAGACAAUAAACACAACAAACACAAGAAAAACAAGUAAAAAUGUCUAAAUUAAUAAAGUUGCUCUUAACACCGAUAUUGACAAAUCUUCCCCGACAAAGGUGCCAAAAACUUGACGUGCGCGCGGGUAUACAUAUACAAUUAAACUCAUUCCAAUCAAGUUUUACAUUUAUAAUUCAUAAAUACCCCACAAGCGAUUUAUCGCAAGUAUACGAAUCGUGAGCGAGUAUAGAGUAUUAAGGGUCGAUCCCACAGACAUGAUUGCAAUUACCGGUGUUUUUCGAACUCCUUUAUUAUCUAGACUACAAUAAACAUAUAAAAGUAAUGAAAAUAACACUAGAAAACUCCUAGAGCUAUGGAAUUCCUUACUGCUCUUGCAAAUGAGAUUACCGGUUAAGUGAAUGCUAUUAUCUUGGCUAGUUAUGGUGUAAUUUCCUAAUGUAUGUGAAACCUACUCUCGUAGUGAAUCAACUAUACUUGUAAGUAAGCCAUACCUACUCUCGUGGUAAUCAAUUAAUUACAAACUCAUUUCUUCUAUGAAAUUACAUGAAACAAGUCACUAAAGCCACAAAGGUGCACCUCUACUCUCGCGAGUAUACUCCCUAGAUUUAUCACUUCUUUGAAUUAGUGUUAAAUUUCAAUUUUCAUUGCAAACUUAACACCUUUAGAUAAUCACAACUAAUGGCCGGUUAAUCAUGAUUAGAAAAGCAAAAGUGAUAAAUAACUUGUUCAAAAUAAUAUCACCAAAUAACUGAGUAAACAUCACAAACAAGAUAUAGAAAGUUCAUCCAUACUCUAGGCAUGAACUUUAGAAAAAUAUGAAGAAAAACAAAGCCAGACUUGUAUUAUAGCUAAACAUGAAAUCAAAUACAAAAGAGAAAGUGAUAGGAGUGAUGUCACCCUUGUCACAUGAGCUCUAACUCUCCAUCUUUGCUCCUUCAAUCUUCAUCCAAAUUAGAUACAAAUAUAAGAAGGAAAAACUACUCUACCUAUGCUAUACUAAUGAACCAAGAAAAACUAGUGAAGACUACAUUUUUUGUGGAGUUCUUUCUAGCCUUCCAAAAUUAUGAAAAAGGUCUUCCAAGGCAGUUAUUUGUGGAGAAAUUUCUUGCAAGAAACAAGGUGUUAAGUCAUGUCUUGAUUCCAUAAACAAGAUAGAAUGAGUUGUAAAGCUUCUUUUGCAGCUGUCUUGGGCUGUUUCCACCGAUAUUCUUGCAGAAAAAAUGGAUCAAAAAGCUUGUGUGAAUAAAACACAAGUUUCUGAGGAAGUUGUAGCCACAAUUGAGGAAUACGCGACUUGAGAAAACGCGGCUUCAUGCCACGUUUUCACUGAGCCACGUUUUCGCUUCUGUGCAUUUGACAUUAUUUCAACUGCUUUUUGCUCGAUGAUAGAGACCGAACUAGCUCUUGUGUAAAACAUAGAAGUUGUAGCCCGUUGCGUUAGCUUUCCAAUGCCUCAAGAAUCAUUUAAUUUAGAGAUUUUUGGACCGAGAUAUGACCAAAAUACCAAAAAUUGGUCAGAGCUCUGUUUUCAACUUUGGACAGCAGUGUUGAACUUUGGUAUUUCGACCUUUUGACUGAGAAAACGGUUAAAUUGGACUCUGAUGUUUGCAUACCAAAUUUAGAUACGUCUCUUAGUUUCAAAAUGGUUUAAGAAUCAUUCCAAUCCAAUAUAUAUAGCUCAAUAUAUAGCCAAAAUACCAACAGUUGCCAAAACUGACUUUCUUGAUUCUUUUGUUCUCAAAUUGCAUUUCUCCUUUUACACUUCAUAUUUUAUUUUCAUCUCUUUAAACCAUCAUCUUUCAUCCAAUUAUCUUCUCAACGUACUCCAUUUGAUGAUUGAAUCAUUAAAAAUACAAAUAUAAAGUUUUUAUCAUAAAAAUCCAUAAAAAAGUAAUUUUUACACAUUAGCCAUAAAAUGUAUAAUUCCACUAGAAACUUAGUUUAUUAGUUAUAAAAUUAAAUAAAACACGCCAAAACUAAUUAAUAAAUCACACUAAAAAUAUGUAAAAUAUAUUUUUAUCAAAUACCCCCACACUUGAACCAUUGCUUAUUCUCAAGCAACAAGAAACACCAACCAACAAUGAUCCAAAGAUUGAAAAUAAAUAUAUGUGCACCAUCAACUUCAUUUCCUCAAAAACAAGGUAAACAACCAUUAUGUAAUCACUCUAUUAAGUUCAAGUACUCAUAAUAUCAAGUAAAGAAAGGCCAAUUAUACCGCCAUUAUAACACAUUGAAGUCAAUUUCUCAUUCUUACCCAAUUUUACAAGCAAGUAACUCAUAUGGUCAAUAAAUACUUUCUAAACCCAUUAUCGUCUUCUUAUUUUACUUAAAGAGGUAUUUAUUCAUAUAAUAUAGCUAAAUAUAUACUUAAGUUGUGAAAGUGUUUUUUUACACGAGAAUCGACAUUUUUAGAUGAAAAUCACCGGUUACUCAACACUUCACAUUUGAAGUCACAUUUUCUGCUGUAAUGAUGUAGAAUACAAUACGCGACUUCAACUAAUAUGCAACUUGGAGUCGCGUAUUGAAGUCGCGUUUUCUUUGUUGUUGGUGCAGAAUUAAAUACGCGACUCAUGAAUACGCGACUUCAAGUUGCGUAUAUCUGUGCUCGCGUUUUCAAUUUAUGCAGUUUUUCUGCAGAAAUUUGUAGCUUUCCAAUUAUAUGACUUUUACCCCAAAUGCUCAAAAUGUAUUCUAAAUCAUUCUUUUGCCAAAAUAUUCAAUGUACGCAUAUGUAAAACGAUCAAAACAUGCAUUUUAACCCUUCUAACGAAUCAAAAACAACAAUUACUCAAAUCGAGCGGUUGAGUUCCUUGAUCAAAUUGCGCCUUUGUCACCUCAUUUGGUCACUUUUGCUUUCAUUUCCAAUACCUAUAAAUGAAAAAUAACGAAAUAACUCAAAUAUAUAAUUUAAACAUAAAAUCACACCAAUAUAACGUAAAAUACUAAAAUUAGGUCGCCUCUCAACAAGUGCUUUUGUUUCUAGUCGUUGGCUCGACAAUUGAUCCUCAUUUUUCAAGGAGGCUUGGUUAUAGAAUAAUCCACCAUUUUAGGUCUGGAUCAUUAAAAGGUGACUUUAUAGCAAAAGUCACAUGUUUUAAUGAUAUGAAAGAUGAAAGUGACUUACCUAUCCCAAGUGUUUUAUAGAUAUUAUCUUGAAUAUGCAUCAUUUGAGAACUUACCAAAUGCGAUGUCAUGAGAAUAUCUUGGACAGCAAUACCCUUAGAACCUAUACUUUCAAUGCACUCUCAAGAGGGGCAAAAAAUGAGUAAUUACAACUCACCUCUUGAGGUUCAAGGUUAGUUCCAAAGAUAUUAUCACGUGAAAUGGACAUUUGCUCAUUGAAACACAAUUGAGAUUCAUCAUUUUCAUCAAAAUCAAUUCAUUUCACAUACAACAUUCCCACCAUUCACGCUAGAGUCAUUUUAACAUUAUUAGACGAAAUAACUUCGCACAAUACCAUUCAAUUGAUCUUGUAUUCUAUCAAAGUGAGAAACUAAUUCAUUUAUUCUUUCUCAAUCCUAUCAAAAUGGUCGGAAGUCACAUUAGUUAAUUUUUCUAUAGCUAGCACCCAAGAUGGCUUAGAAUCAUUGGCUACUCUUUCUAUUGCCAAUUUCCAAAAUGAUUUUGAUUCAUAUUAGACACAUUCAUGUUGGUAAUCAUAAAAAUAUGGAGAAUCAUUAUAUGCACAUUGAUUAUCCCAACCAUGAGUAGGAGAAUAGCUCCAAUUAGCACUAUAUUGAUCAAAACAGAGAUUGUAAUGCGCUAAUUCAUCAUAAUAAUCCAUAUUUUGUGCUUGCAUACAUGUAUUAAUAGCAUGAUAAGCUCCAUACAAGUCACAAAUCAUAUGAUAAGAAUUAAAACCAUUAGCAUUCUUCCUUUGCUCAAUUUCAUGCAUAAUGGUGUCCUUUUGAACUUGUAACAUUAUAUCAUCAAGUUUAGCCUUUAAGCACUUCAAACCAUUUUCAAAAGACAUACCUUUGGUAAUUUCUUGGUUACCUCUAUUGAAGGAGUUUUACACUUGGUAAUCAUUCAUUUCCGAUCUUCACUUCUCAUGCAUUGUCUCUCCAUAUUUUCUACUCGCCAUGAUCCCCUAAACAUGUCUUCAAAAUAAUUCAAAAACAAGUUUAGUCAAGAAGAAUAGAUGACUCUAACAUAAAAAAAGCAUAAAAACUCACAAAGAAAUUAAAAAUAAAAUUGAGACAAUAGACACAACAAAUAAGAAAAACAAGUAAAAUGUCUAAAUUAAUAAAGUUUGCUCUUAGCACCGAUUUUGACAAAUCUUCCCCGGCAACGGCGCCAAAAACUUGACGUGCGCGGGUAUACAUAUACAAUUAAGUUCAUCCAAUCAAGUUUUACAUUUAAUAAUUCCGAAAUACCACACGCCAUUUAUCGCAAGUAUACGAAUCGUGAACGAGUAUAGAAUAUUAAGGUCGUUCCCAAGGGAAGAUUGCAAUUACCGGUGUUUUUCGAACUCUUUUAUUAUCUAGACUACCAUAAACAUAUAAAAGUAAUGAAAAUAACACUAGAAAGCUCCUAGAGGUAUGGAAUUCCAUAUUACUCUUGCAAAUGAGAUUACGGUUAAGUGAAUGCUAUUAUUUUGGCUAGUUAUGGCAUAAUUCCUAAUGUAUGUGAAACCUAGUCUCGUAAUGAAUCAACUAUACUUGUAAUUGAACCAUACUACUCUGUUGUUAUGAAUUAAUUACAAACUCAUUUCUUCUAUGAAAUUACAUGAAACAAGUCACUAAAGCCAAAAGGUGCACCUCUACUUCGUGAGUGUACUCCCUAGGUUUAUCAUUUCUUUGAACUAGUGUUAAAUUCCAAUUUUAUUACAAAUUUAACACCUUUAGAUAAUCACAACUAAUGGCCGGUUAAUCAUGAUUAGAAAAGGAAAAGCGAUAAAUAACUUGCUCAAAAUAAUAUCACCAAAUAACUGAGUAAACAUCACAAACAAGAUAUAGAAAGUUCAUCCAUACUCUAGGCAUGAACUUUAGAAAAACAUGAAGAAAAAUAAAGCCAGACUUAUAUUAUAGCUAAACAUGAAAUCAAAUACAAAAAAGAAGUGAUAGGAGAGAUGUCACCCUUGUCACAUGAGUUCUAACUCUCCAUCUUUGCUCCUCCAAUCUUCAUCCAAAUCUAGAUACAAAUAUAAGAAGGAAAAACUACUCUACCUAUACUAUACUAAUGAACCAAGAAAAACUAGUGAAAAGUGCCUUUUUUAUGGAGUUCUUUCUAGCCUUCCAAAAUUAUGCAAAUGGUCUUCCAAGGCAGCUAUUUGUAGAGAAAUUUAUUGCAAGAAACAAGGUGUUAAGUCAUGUCUUGAUCCCAUAAACAAGCUAGAAUGAGUUGUAAAGCUUCUUUUGCAGCUAUCUUGGGCUGUUUCACCGAUAUUCUUGUAGGAAAAAUGGAUCAAAAAGCUUGUGUGAAUAAAACACAAGUUUCUGAGCAAGUUGCAGCCACAAUUGAGAAAAUGCGGCUUCAUGCCAUGUUUUCGUUUCUGUGCAUUUGACAUUAUUUCAACUGCUUUUUUUCUGGAUGAUAGAGACCGAACUAGAUCUUGUGUAAAAUAUAGAAGUUGUAGCCCGUUGUGUUAGCUUUCCAAUGCCUCAAGAAUCAUCCAAUUUGGAGCUCUGUGGACCGAGAUAUGACCAAAAUAUCAAAGACUGGUCAGAGCUCUGUUUUCAACUUUGGACAGCAGUGUUAAAUUUUGGUAGUUCGACCUGAGAAAACGGUUAAAUUGGACUCUGAUGUCUUCAUACCAAAUUUAGAUACGUCUCUUAGCUUCAAAAUGGUUUAAGAAUCAUCCCAAUCCAAUGUAUAUAGCUCAAGAUAUUGCCAAAAUACCAACAAUUUCCAAAGCUGACUUUCUUGAUUCUUUUGUUGUCAAAUUGCAUUUCUCCUUUUACACUUCAUAUUUUAUUUUAAUCUCUUUAAACCAUCAUCAAUCAUCCAAUUAUCUUCUCAAUAUAUUCCAUUUGAUGAUUGAAUCAUUAAACCUACAAAAUAUAAUGUUUUUAUCAUAAAAUUCAUAAAAAUGCAAUUUUUACGCAUUAACCAUAAAAUGUCAAUUUCCACUAGAAACGUAGUUUAUUAACUAUAAAAUUAAAUAAAACACACCAAAACUAAUUAAUAAAGCGAACUAAAAAUUUGUAAAAUAUAUUCUUAUCAAAUACCCCCACGCUUGAACCAUUGCUUGUCCUCAAACAAUAAGAAAUAUCAAUCAACAAUAAUCCAAAGAUUGAAAAUAAAUAUAUGUGCACCAUCAACUUUAUUUCUUCAAAACAUGGUAAACAACCAUUAUGUAAUCAUUCUAUUAAGUUCAAGUACUCAUAAUAUCAAGUAAAGAAAAGCCAAUUAUACGCCAUUAUAACACAUUCAAGUCAAUUUCUCAUUCUUACCCAAUUUUACAAGCAAGUAACUCAUAUGGUCAACAAAAUACUUCCUAAACCAUGAUCAUCUUCUAUUUUACUUAAAGAGGUAUUUAUUCAUAUAAUAUAGCUAAAUAUAUACUUAAGUUGUGAAAGUGUUUUUUUAAGCGAGAAUUGACAUUUUUAGAUGAAAAUGACUGGUUACUCAAUACUUCACAUACUCAAGUUACGUUAUAUACUCUUAAUUCAAGUACCGUUUUACGCAAAAAUUGACAUUUUUAGAUGAAAACUCCCGGUUACUAAGUACAAGAAUCAUUGGAGUAGAAUAACUCUUAUUCACUUUUUGACUUUUUCUUUUUUUUUUCUUUUUUUACUUUUUAUUUUAUACUCUUUUUUUCAAACCAAAAAUAAUAACAUUCCUCCAAAAGAAUAAUCCUGAGAAGAGUAUUGCCACUAUUGACCAUACUAAUUACUUAACUUAUAAAAUCAAAUAAAGAAAAGAAAUUUCAUUAAAUAUGUAAAAAAAAUAUAGGCAUAGUGUUCUCACUUUAAAAGAUACAUUUUCCUAUAAAUGCAAAUUAUAUAUCACAUAAUAGUCAUUUCCAAGUUAAAUGAGAAAAGAAAUUUUCAAAAUAAUAUAUAAUUUUUUCAAAUGUAGAACGAAUUUGAACUACUAAUGGUAUGGAACUUAUUGCCUUUGGAUAAAAUUGAAAAAAUUUGAAACAUUUUUGGGGCAACUUUGAAAUUUUGGACAAGAAAAAUUUUGAAUUUUAACACAAGUCCAAUAUUUGCAACUAAUAAGUCAAUCACAUACAAUGUAUAUAAUCUCAAUUCUUCCCCCCACACUUAACAUGUACAUUGUUCUCAAUGUGUAAAACGGAAAAUUAAGAUAAAGAAAGUAAUACUCCCCUAUUGUUGCGAUUGAAACAUCAAAGCAUGAAGUUCACAAGCCAUUGUCCACCUAUCUCCACAACUUCAUGAGUUCCAUUUGAUAACCAUUAGUAAUAUUUACCUAAAGAUGGCAAAUGAGAAACAAAAGUGAUAACAAAGGCAUUAAGAAACAUAUAACGGCGAUCCGUAACUCCUAUGCCUUUGCCUUGGUGAUGUACCUAUAGAAAAUACACAAUAAACUACUCAGAUACAAGGGAAUUCAUGAGGAAAAGAAGAAAAAGAGAAUCAAGGAACCUGCAUUUUCCUUUAAAAAAACCUUAAAAACGUGACUGUAGAAAACGCCGCCUAUGAACUCGCGUUUUGGAGUCGCGUUUUCUGCUGUAAUGAUGCAUAAUACAAUACGUGACUUCAACUAAUAUGCGACUUGGAGUCGCGUAUUGAAGUCGCGUUUUCUUUGUUGUUGGUGCAAAAUUGAAUACGCGGCUCAUGAAUACGUGACUUCAAGUCGGUAUUUCUAAGCUCGCAUUUUCAAUUUCUGCAGUUUUUCUGUAGAAAUUUUGUAACUUUCUAAAAAUAUGACUUUUACCCCAAAUGCUCAAAUGCAUCCUAGAUCAUUCUAUUGCCAAAAUAUUUAAUGUACGCACAUGUAAAACGAUCAAACAUGCAUUUUACCCCCUAUUAACAAAUAAAAAAUAACAAUUACUCAAAUCGAGGGUUGAGUUGCUUGAUCAAAUUUCGCCUUUUUCAUUUCAUUUAAUCACUUUUGCUUUUAUUUCCAAUACCUAUAAAUGAAAAUAACGAAAUAACUCAAACAUAUAAUUUAAAUAUAAAAUUACACCAAAAUAAUGUAAAGUACUAAAACGUUGGGUUGCCUCCCAACAAGCGCUUUUGUUUAUAGUCGUUGGCUCGACUAUUGAAUCUCAUUUUUCAAGGAGGCUUGGUUAAAGAAUAAUCCACCCAAUUUUACGUCGUAGUGGAUCAUUAAAAGGUGACUUUAUAGCAAAAGUCACCUGUUUUAAUGAUAUGAAAGAUGGGUGUGACUUACCUAUCCCAAGUGUUUCAUAAAUAUUACCUUGAAUAUGCACCAUUUGAGAAUUUACCAAAGAAGAUGUCAUGAGAAUAUCUUGGACAGCAAUACCCUUAGAACCUAUACUUUCAAUGCACUCCUCAAGAUGGGUGAAAAUGAGUCAUUACAACUCACCUCUUGAGGUUCAAAGUUAGUUCCAAAGAUAUUAUCAUGUGAAAUGGACAUUUGCUCAUUGAAACACAAUUGAGAUUCAUCAUUUUCAUCAAAAUGCAAUCCAUUUUCACAUACAACAUUCCCACCAUUCAUGCUAGGGUCAUUUUACACAUUAUAAGACGAAAUAACUUCACACAAUGCAUUCAAUUGAUCUUGUAUUCUACCAAAGUGAGAAGUUAAUUCAUUUAUUCUUUCCUCAAUCCUAUCAAAAUGGUCGGAAGUCACAUUAGCUAAUUUUUCUAUAGCUAACACCCAAGAUGGCUUAGAAUCAUUGGCUACUUUUCUAUUGCCAAUUUUUAAGAUGGUUUUGAUUCAUAUUAGACACAUUCAGGUUGGUAAUCAUAAAAAUAUGGAGAAUCACUAUAUGCGCAAUGAUUAUCCCAACCAUGAGUAGGAGACUAGCUCCAAUUAGCACUUUGCUCAAUUUCAUGCAUAAUGGUGUCCUUUUGAACUUGUAACAUUGUAUCAUCAAGUUUAGCCUUUAAGCACUUCAAACCAUUUUCAAAAGACAUACCUUUGGUAAUUUCUUGGUUACCUCUAUUGAAGAAGUUUUGCACUUAGUAACCAUUCAUUGCCGAUCUUCCACUUCUCAUGCAUUGUCUCUCCAUAUUUUCUACUCUCCUUGAUCCCCUAAACAUGUUUUCAAAAUAAUUCAAAAACAAGUUUAGUCAAGAAGAAUAGAUGACUUUAACAUAAAAAAAAACACAAAAACUCACAAAGAAUCUAAAAAUAAAAAUUGAGACAAUAGACGCAACAAACACAAGAAAAACAAGUAAAAAUAUCUAAAUUAAUAAAGUUGCUCUUAGCACCGAUAUUGACAAAUCUUCCUCGGCAACGGCGCCAAAAACUUGACGUGCGCGGGGUAUACAUAUACAAUUAAGUUCAUCCCAAUCAAGUUUUAUAUUUAUAAUUUCUAAAUACCCCACACGCUUUUUAUCGCAAGUAUACGAAUCGUGUGAGAAUAUAGGGUAUUAAGGGUCGAUCCCACAGGAAAAAUUGCAAUUACCGGUGUUUUUCGAACUCUUUUAUUAUCUAGACUACCAUAAACAUAUAAAGUAAUGAAAAUAUUACUAGAAAGCUCCUAGAGGUAUGGAAUUCUUUACUGUUCUUGCAAAUGAGAUUACCGGUUAAGUGAAUGCAAUUAUUUUGGCUAGUUAUGGAGUAAUUUCCUAAUGUAUGUGAAACCUACUCUUGUAGUGAAUCAACUAUACUUGUAAUUAUGUCAUACCUACUCUCGUGGUUAUGAAUUAAUUACAAGUUCAUUUAUUCUAUGAAAUUACAGGAAACAAGUCACUAAAAUCACAGAGGUGCACCUCUGCUCUCGUGAGUGUACUCCCUAGGUUUAUCACUUCUUUGAACUAGUGUUAAAUUUCAAUUUUCAUUGCAAACUUACCACCUUUAGAUAAUCACAACUAAUGGCUGGUUAAUCAUGAUUAGAAAAGCAAAAGUGAUAAAUAACUUGUUCAAAAUAAUAUCACCAAAUAACUAAAUAAACAUCAUAAACAAGAUAUAGAAAGUUCAUCCAUACUCUAGGCAUGAACUUUAGAAAAACAUGAAGAAAAACAAAGCUAAACUUGUAUUAUAGUUAAACAUGAAAUCAAAUACAAAAGAGAAGUGAUAGGAGAGAUGUCACCCUUGUCACAUGAGCUCUAACGCUCCAUCUUUGCAUCUCCAAUCUUCAUCCAAAUCUAGAUACAAAUACAAGAAGGAAAAACUACUCUACCUAUACUAUACUAAUGAACCAAGAAAAACUAGUGAAAACUACAUUUUUUGUGGAGUUCUUUUUAGCCUUCCAAAAUUAUGAAAAAGGUCUUCCAAGGCAGCUAUUUGUAGAGAAAUUUCUUGCAUGAAACAAGGUGUUAAUUCUUGUCUUGAUCCUAUAAACAAGCUAGAAUGAGUUGUAAAGCUUCUUUUGCAGCUGUCUUGUGCCGUUUCCACUGAUAUUCUUGCAGGAAAAAUGGAUCAAAAAGCUUGUGUGAAUAAAACGCAAGUUUCUGAGCAAGUUACAGCCGCAAUUGAGGAAUACGCGACUUGAGAAAACGCAGUUUCAUGCCACGUUUUCACUAUGCCACGUUUUCGCUUUUGUGCAUUUGACAUUACUUCAACUGCUUUUUGCUCGAUGAUAGAGGCCGAAAUAGCUAUUGUGUAAAAUAUAGAAGUUGUAGUCCUUUGCAUUAGCUUUGUAAUGCCUCAAGAAUCAUCUAAUUUGGAGCUCUGUGAACCGAGAUAUCACCAAAAUACCAAAGACUGGUCAGAGCUCUGUUUUCAACUUUGGACAGUAGUGUUGAACUUUUGUAUUUCGACUUUUUGACUGAGAAAACGGCUAAAUUGGACUAUGAUGUUUCAUACCAAAUUUAGAUACUUCUCUUUGCUUCAAAAUGGUUUAAGAAUCAUCCUAAGCCAAUAGAUAUAACUCAAGAUAUAGCCAAAAUACCAACAGUUGCCAAAGCUGACUUUUCUUGAUUCUUUGUUCUCAAAUUGCAUUUCUCCUUUUACACUUCAUAUUUUAUUUUCAUCUCUUUAAACCAUCAUCAAUCAUCCAAUUAUCUUUUCAAUGUACUCCAUUUGAUGAUUGAAUCAUUAAACCUACAAAAUAUGAAGUUUUAUCAUAAAAAUCCAUAAAAAUGUAAUUUUUUACACAUUAACCAUAAAAUGUAUAUUUUCACUAGAAACUUAGUUUAUUAGCUAUAAAAUUAAAUAAAACACACCAAAACUAAUUAAUCAAGCACACUAAAAAUAUGUAAAAUAUAUUCUUAUCAAAAUACGUGAAAUGUAUACUUGUCAAGACUAAAUAGGUUCAUUGAUAAAAACUAAGAGAUUUUUGGAGUCGUUUACCCUUGAUUUAAAUAUGGUUAAUGGUGGCUGUCAAACUACCAAAAGUAAAAUUUAUAUUGGACCUACUACCAAAACUGAAUGAGUAUAGUGGUGAGUAUGGUCGUCUCCUCAGGGAAUCGGUAGAUUUAUGACACACAGGUAAUUGGGAAAUUUUGAAAGAGAGAGAGAUAAAUGAAAAAAAUUAAAGACGUAAGAUUACUAAAUAAACAAUCGCAAUAAAUGCAAUAACUCAAGAAUGAAAUAAACAAUUAAUUGACACAACCUAGUCAAGGAGAUAAUCUCGGCACCGGUUCACGCAAUUGAUCAUAGAUACCUGAAUGAAUUCACACGUUCGCAAAUAAAUUGGUUCUAACAAUUUAGCAACCGCCAAACUCCCAAUCUCUCCUUAAUUUUACGGUAGUCCAGAGACGCUCUUAAACUACCCCCAUGUAAAUUAGAUAACCCCAGAGACACUCGAAAAAUUUAAUCUAAUCACAGCUUUAGGAAUUAGAGAGACCCAAUUCUAGUUAACAAACACACAAGCGGGUUCAUUAAAACUAGAUUAAUUAUUCCUACGGGACAGAUUAGACUGCUUGUGAGGCAAUGAAAUUGUGCCAUUUGCCACUAAUUUAAGACAUUCAAGUGAUACACACCCCUGUCCUAAUUAGCAAUAUAUUAUUUAGACAAUUGAACAACUGGCCAUAUUGAUCCAAUUGAUCCAAACAAUAAUGGCCUAUUCAAACAAAAAAUAAUUAAAUACUCACAAAAGCCAAAUUUAGAAUAGAGCAAACAAUUAAAACGAUCUCACAAUUGUUCGUGCAUCGGGCUUUGAUUCCUCCUCAACUAGACCAAGAACUUAGCCUUGCCAUAACGACGAAGCAAUUCAAAGUUUUCGAUGGAAUGAAUUUAGUUGAUGAAAGAGUAAAAAGCUACGAAUCUCUGACUAGCGUUUAGAAGAAGAAAAGAAAGACAAAAGUUCCAAGAUAAAAAGGACACCCUUCUAGUCUAUUGUUGUUCCCUUUUAAAGCUUCGCCGCCGCACCCUUGCUUUCCGAAUUAGAGUUUGUUUUUCAAAAGGAUUCUUUCCUUAUUUCUCUCAUUGAAUUGUUGCCAAAAGUCUUCGCUGCAAAGGUUUACUAAUCCCACGCAGGUUCAGAAUGUGUCUCCAAAGAAAUGUGGUAAUUCCAGGAAUAGGACCCGCGGUCCGUCUUUUUCACACAACCCUGCGGUCUCUGGCGUGGGCACGCCCCGGAAGGAUUGGUCUUCUGGAAAUUCACUUCUUUUGCCACUUUGACAUCAGUUACCUGCAGGUAAACAAAUACCAAAUAUGAGCAGAAACCCAUUACUUUGGACAAUAAAUGGCCAAAAUCAAGACCAAACAUCAAUGAAUCAAGCAUACAUUUAUCUCCCUAUCAGUUAACAUAUCCUUUUACAGCGUCUGGACUAUUUCAAAGAAGGAAAUUAGAAAGCAAAGGAUAAAGAGAAGCAAGCCGGAGCUAUAGCUUCCUAGAUAUAAAUCAGGUUCAAACUCCAUAUUCAACUGGAAGUUACAACUGAUGAAAUCCUACCACUAAAGUUUCCUAAGAAUAUCCAACAACUAUUAAUCCCUCAAUGGAAUCAGAACUGUAUAUUGUUGGUAUUAGUUCAAUUUUUAUUAUUCUCAAAUAGUAGCAUUUAGUUGAAUUUUAAACUCAACUUUCUUGCUUCAUUAAUUAGUUGGGUGGUGUAUACCGGGGCAAUUAUAUUCCCAAGAUCUUUAAAUAUCACGUACUCUUUUCAGCAUAAUAAGCUGAAAUCAUGGAUGAGCAUCAAUAGAAACUAUUAGUUGCAAAAUUUCAUUAAAAAAUAAAGGAAAGAAAGAGAGAGGGACAAUAAAAUAAGGAUGAAUUAAGGGCGGAUAACUCCCCGAUUAAACCUAAAUAAUCUUUGUAGAGGAUUUUUGAUGUUAUAUUGAUGGAGCACCUUGCAACUUAAUAUUUCUUCAUUUAUAAAGUUUUAUUUUAUUUUAUUUAUUUUUUACCUCCCAUCCCUCACCACACCCUUCAUUUGUAAAGUUUAAGUCUACCUUGAACUUUUUUUUUUCCUAAUAAUUACUUAGUAAAUAUACCUUUUUUUUUAAAUAAGGCUAAUUUGAUAAAAUAUAAAGGAUCUUACACGAGAAGCCAAAUCAUAAGAACCUUAAUGCUAACUUAUCAAUCUACACCCUAACCCUGCGCAAACUGUAAGACCCGACCGAUCUAGAGCGACGUCUCCUUGCACCAAGCGAGGCAAGUCACGGUAUGAUUCAUACGUUCAAAGUUAUUCUUGAGCCCACUCCAAUGUUUGCAAGGCGGUCAGCAGGCUUAUUCCCUUCACAAAGCAAUGCGUCACCGCUCUAAAGAAUCGUCUAUCUUUGGCAGGCUCCUAUAAAUUCCUCGCAGUCUCCAUGGGCACCGUAGUAUCCCGUGAAUAAUCUGAACCAGUACCAAGGAGUCAGAUUCUAAAUGCAAGACCGAAUACCCACCACCAAUAGCUAGCCUAACACCACAAAUAAGCGCUUUCAAUUCCGCCUGUAAACUCGUCAUCUCUCCAAAGAAACAUGAGAACCCCAAAGAAACCUUCCCUCCGAACAUCGGAGCAUCCCUCCCACCCCCACUCUCUCCUGGAUUACCUCUGGAGCAACCAUUCGAGUUCAGCUUGACUACCUGUUGCACGGGACAUCUCCACCGAACCACCAAGGUUUUAUACUCCCACUAGAUACCAGCCACCAUACCGUGGAAGCCCGGCCAAUCUUGUCCAGCGGUACUGUUGCCUUUAAAUUUAAGAUAAAAAAGGUCCCUGAGAUCACGAAAAAUUUCCACACAAACGUGACCACCGACACAGAUGACCUUCAAACAAAAAUUUGCUCCGCAUCUUCCACAAGUUCUAACAUAUUAGAGAUGGCAGUAGCCGAAGAAGAUACUGGAGAUACUGGUUCUGAGUAGGUUUCAACCACCAGCUAACCACCUUAUGUCUUAUUGUAGCGGCAACCCUAAACCCUCCAAUCACCCCUUCGAAGUACUCCCAAAUUCGCUACGCCACUUCCCCAGUGUAAAAAAUGAUCUUUAUUGCAAUCCCUGAGGCCAAAGCAACGAGUAGAUCGAAGAACUGUUUCUCUCUUGGUGAGCAACUUGAUAUGCAGAUGCUAAUAGGGCUGUCAACGGGCCGGAUUAGGGCCGAAAUUAAUAAAUUCGGACCCGGACCCGCAAUACUGUAUUAAUUCCGGACCCGGCCCAAAUACCCGAUAGGUCUCUUAAGCUUUAUCCCGGAACCGCACCUGAUGGUCCUGGGUCUGGGUCGGGCCUACCCGGACAAGACCAGUCAAACAGCCUGCUUUUGCUACUUCAUCAGAAUGGAACUUUGCUACACGAAAAUUACAAAUGUUUCACAUGUUUUAAACUCGAUUACAAAGUUAUUCAAAGCCAAUCACAAACUUAAAUCAAAAUUACAAAUCUAUAUCACAAACCACUCACAAUAACCAUUCUAAAGCCAAUCAAAAAUCAAUCUACAAACUACCAAGUUAUAUAUUAGCAACAAAGCCAAUAUGACAUCCAACAAAUUACAAUUUCUACAAAGUCCAAUCAGGCAUUAAAUUCAAAUACAUCAACCAACAAAUGAAGUCCUACUGCCUUGUAGAUUACAAUAGUCUUCAUGGCUCUCAAGUUUCACAAUUUUCUGCAAUAAAAACAAGGAUAAAAUAUAUUUGUAAACUAAUUACUAACUAAUACAAAAAAAAACCAAAUAAGAAAAGAAAUUGGUCUUACUCAAAUACAUCACCCUAACUUGAGAACUUUAGAAGAAUCAUCCAAGUCAUCUCCAAAUAGCUCUAAGAAAACAAAGAGAAAGAAAGUAGAUUAGUCUUACUAGAGUAACUCAACCAAACAAACUUGUAAUAUGGAUUUAAAAGAAAAAACAACAAAAGAAACAUAAACAUGAAGGAUUUACUUCUUUUCUUUUUCAAAGGUAACCAAUCUCCAGUUGUUAUCAAAGUUUCGACCACAUCAGGAAGCAAAGAAGCACGAGUCUCAUCAAUUACCCUUCCGCCAACGCCACCAGUAGCAGUCCUAACUCUAUCCAUAUCAAUCCAUACCUUAGAUGUUAAUUUCUUUUCCCUAGGUUUCUUACAUGAAUCAUCUUCCUUCACAUCCUCCUCUUUCGAAUCCAAAAUGGCAACCUCAUUCUUAUCAACUGUGCUACUUGGUCCUGUUGGAUUACUUGGCAAAGAUGACAUCCUGCAAUUAGUGAAUAACAGAAUUUAUUAGAUAAACAUGGUACAAGCCUCAGGUAAUUGUGAAAGUUUUCAAGUGAACUCGUUUAUGAUAUGACUUCAUACGGAAGAAAAAGCUAAUGAUACUUUAUUUCUUGUUUAGAACUAUAGUUGAACUAUAGUCCAACUGAAUGUUCUUUUAUGCUCCAUUUUUCUCCUAGCAACAAUACGAUUUUUUUUCACAGAUAACCAUAGCAAGAAGAAGGCAAUAGCUGGGUGUUAACACAUGCAAUUGUCAUUUACCCCAAAAAAAACAAUUAAAUGACUUCUUUGGGCCCUACGAACAUCUAAGAAAGCAAAAGGCAGCGAUAUUAUUUGUCCCUAAUCACUUUUAAAUGAAUAAUGUUGUCUAUUAAAAGCCACUUCUGGCUCGUUUAAUGAUUUGCUAAGUAUUUUUUUUUGACAGAGCAAUUAUGACGGUUUAGUUAAAAAAAUACUAAAGUUGUUCUUGACUCUUUUUUUUCUUUAAUAUGAUUGUGUGGGUUUAUAUGGUAACAAUUUGUUGAAAAUGAUUGCAUCUUUUGUUACUUGUUUCCUUCUCCAACACAAAAUUAUUAAAGUUGAGGAACUCCAGCAGCAACGAUGAUAGUUUCAAAUUGAUUUCAAUUACGUUAAACUAACAGCAACAGACUCUGAGUUAUAUUUCAUGUUAAGUAUCAUAUUAAUCUAAUUAAUUUAUUGAGACAAUCACAGGUACUGAAAAAUUUUAAAAAAAUACCUGUGAUUGUGCGAAAGAAAGCUGGGCUGCUAGAAGCCUGGAAGAGUUGGGCUUCGACCGGAUCUGCAACCGUCAGGCGUCAGAGAUGGAGAAAGCUCACCGGCGUUAGAGAUGGAGAGUGCAAGAGAGAAGAGAGUGAGACUGGACCAGGUUGGGCUUCUUUGGAGCUGGCCAGACUCGACGGUUUCUUUGGAGCUGGGCUUCUUUGGAGCUGGAGAAUGGAGUUGGAGAGAGUCGAGAGCGUCGCCGGUUUCAGUGGAGAUGGAGAGAUGGAGAGAGUCAGAGAGCGUCGCUGGAGAUGGAGAGAUGGAGCUGGAGAAUGGAGAUGGAAGAGCGGACUGGUCAAUGGUCACUAGCGGAGACGGGGCCGCGGGAGGCAGAGCAAAAGAGAAAAGAGAGUGAGGGGAAAAUGGAUGUGUGUAGCGGUGGGUAUUAGGGUUCGAAAGAUUUGGGAAUGAAAUUAUGACAGUAGUAUUGAUAUGAAUAAUUGAUAGCUAGGUAUAUAUUUUUAAUUACUAAUUAAUAAAAAAGGGUUCGGGUUGGAUACGGGUCGGAAUGGUAUAUUCCGUAUCCGACCCACAAAGUUAUUAGAAAAAAUGGGUCCGGUCAGCCCUAGAUGCUAAUGAGAAGUCACCUAAAGUACUUGGAGUCCAAACCAUGGUAUCCUCUUGGUCCAAAGAAGGAGACACCAUAUCCAAAAUCUGCCCUACCCAUCGACUAGGCACCAUAGUGCGCAGCCAUUGUAUAUUCCAGCAACCCUGGUCAACAAAAUCAAACACAGCACAUUCCUGAAAGGAAUCCACUUGACGACAGAGUGGACUCGUACCCAGCCAAUUAUCAUGUCAAAAACUCACAUCACCCCUAGCGAAAACCCAACCUACAUGUUGCUCAGUAAUCCCCUCGAUAAACACCAUUCUCUUCUAAGUCCAAGAAUCCCCGAGGGAAGCAUUAGCAAAACAAGGGUAAAGAUUGGGACAAUAUUUGCAGUGCAUGAACUCAGCCCACAAAGAUUGCCGCAGCCGGAAGUGCCACCAUAGUCUUAUCGAGAAGGCAUCAAACACAUGCUCCAAUGAUCUCAAACCCGCACCCCCUUUCAUGUGACUUGUAUAGCUGAUCCCAUUUUAACCAGUAAAAUCAUGGCCCAGCCUUUGAGGAGCUCCAUAGAAACAUUGCAAAAAUUUUGUUCGACGUGCUAAAGAUUGACUUGGGGGGGUGGACGCAACAAAUGUAUGAAGAGGCAUAGAAGAUAGCCACUCUUGAUUAGAGCCGAUUUGCCACUGUACAAUAGUAAUCUCCCUUUCCAUGACAACAUCUUCCUCGUGACCGAGUCACAAACUCCCGAAAAGUAGCAUCUCUUCCGCCGCCCUACAUAUAAUGGGCAACCCAAAUAUUUAACUGGAAACUCCUUCGUCUGGAACCCAAUUAUUUCCGCAAUAGAAUGUUUCCGGGUCCUGGGGAAAUUGACAGGAGUCACAAAACAACUCUUUUGCUGAUUGACCUUUUGCCCCGACAUUGAAACAUAAUCAUCCAGAACCUUUAUAACCAACAGCACCGACCACUUCAACCCACUUGUAAAGAUAAUAAUAUCAUCUGCAUAAGCUAAAUGAGUGACAGGCGGACAACCCGGCAGAACUCUAAAAGACGUGAAGCCCGAUGACUACCCAAAGAGUUGAGAAGGCGAGAGAGGACUUCCGCACUAAUCACAAAUAGCGCCGGUGAAAUCAGAUCUCCCUGUCUCAAUCCACGACUAGAUUUAAAGAAUCCCUGAGGCGCACCAUUAAUUAUCACUGAAAACCACACAUUCGAAAUAAUCCUCCAUAUCAUAUCAAUCCACACCUCGCCAAACCCAAACCUUCUUAGCACUUGUAACAGAAAUGGUCAGGAGACUCUAUCAUAGGCUUUGGCCAUAUCAAACUUUAACACCACAUUUCCCCCUCUGUUCUUCCAACGAAUAUCAGACACCAACUCCUUAGCCAACAAAAAGUUGUCAAAAAUUUGCCUACCCUUAACAAAGCCACUCUGCUGAAGGGAUAUAAUACUUAGCAGAACCUUUGACAAACGGGUAGCCAAAGUUUUUGAAAUGACUUUGUUGACGAAGUUGCAAAGGCUUAUGGGUCGAAAUUAGUCUACCUUGAACUGAAAAUAGUUUUUCCAUUCACAUUUUUCCAUCCAUUUGCAGUAUUCUCAAAGCCAAUCUAUGUAUGCAUGGUGAACACAGCAAUACUAUAUAUUAAACGGAUGGUUUGCAUAAACCACAAUCCGGUUUACUACAAAGGUAUGACAUUAAAUUUUGAUGGUUUGCUCAUCUAAAGUACAUGGUUAUUUAGAUAACUUAUUGUCAUCAAAACUACAAACAUAGAAAAAAAUUUAAAACACCAAAUAGUGAAAUAACCACGUACACAUGAAACUUCAACUGUUAAAAAAAAAACUUUUCUACCCACAAAUUUGCACACCUUCUUGUAUCAACUUCAGCUGCCGGAUUACCCACACAGUUCAGAGACCUAUAUGCAUGCAAAUAUCAAAUUUCAGAUAUCCGUCGUCGGUAUCUGUGGUCAGCUCUACUACCCCAAGUUUUCUUGAAAAUCUUGGCUUCAGCAUUCCCACGGCGGUACUGUUGCUUCCAAGUUGGGCAACGAUGAAGCUGCAUAUUAUAAACAUUUAUUGCAAGGGUGAUUUUAAUUAAAUUGAAGAAUGGCAAGAGAUUGAGAGUGAUAAUACCUAUAGUAAAGGCGAGUAGAAGCACCACGAACACUGAUUUAGUCGCACCCUUCUCCAUGUUUAUUGUUUGUGCUUCGAUUUCAACAAACUAAAAUCUUGUGUGUUUUCUUCGGACUUUGGCUUCUGAAUUUAUAGGGAUGACUUUCCAUUAAACAAAUGGUAUAUAGUUUGGUGGCCAUGUUUCGUGAACGUCUCAGCUGGAAGGGCAAGAAUCAAGUGACCAGGUGCUAUUGGCUUUUUCAAGUUAACUCAAAUUUCUUGCCCGAUAAUGCGGAAAUGCAUUCAGCAUUUCCAAAUUCCACAAUUAACUAAAUAAAUCCCCGUAAGGGUCAUGACCUAUACAUUGCGGUUGAGAAUUCACUCAAAAAUUGUAACUAGGACACGAUACUAGUCUUAGCAUAUGAGGUGUAGGCAAAUUUAUUCUAAUAGAUAAAUGUGACAUAUAAAAUUUGAGUAAAUUUUAUAUACAUUGAUAUUAUAUGCACUAUCAUAGUUUGAUGUAUUACAUAUAUGUAAAAUUUAGAUUUUAAAUUUAAAUUUACGUUAAUUGUUAUACAUCCAAACUUGACAGUACAUAUAUUAUUAUUGUAUAAAAAAUUAAUCUAUAAAAUUUCAACUAAAAAUUUGACUAAAAUGAUGUUGGGAAUAGCCUACAAAUGAUGAUCAUCAUCGCUUCUUUCAUAACCUACAAAUGUUGGACUUAAAUAAGAAAAAAAAAACUACUAAUGUUUGUUGACCUUCAGUUUCGUUAUGUGCCAUACAGCAUCAUUCAUCGAACAAAGAAUUCCAAGAAGUAUAUUUCCUUCAAAUUCCACGAGUCUCUAAUGGCUCUUUAGCUUCUUAAUCCCAAUGAAGAAAAAGGUACAAAAAUAAGACUCACUAAAGUUUUUUUCUUGAAAGAAUUUGCUUUUUAGUCCUAAUAAAGAAAAAGAGAGUGAACAAAUGUAAUUGAAAUUGAUCAUCCACGAAUUGAGUUAAAAAAAACAUAUAUCAAAUUUUAGAAUCUAAGAAAAGUCUACCUCUUACACCUUGGACUUACCUUGAGUUUUAAUCGCCUUUUUUUUUUUGAACUUUUAUCGGAGAUGUGCGUUUCAUUCUUACAGGACACAUAGUUAUUGAUUUAUCAUUCAAUAAUCAAUGAUUAAUUUUCUGUGUCUGACAAGAUUACUAUUGAAUUACUUCAUUAAUUGAUAGGUCAAUAAUUGAAAAAUCACCUUUACUAGACAAACGAACUAACUAGUCUUUGAUGAUUAAAUUGAACAUGGAAUUUACAUUUUGAAUGGUUGAAAAUCAAAGCAAAGGAUUAUCAUGAAGGUAAAUAUAAUCGGUACAAACUCGAGAAGUAUUGAUACCUUUCUUCUUUUUUCCUAAUAAAAAGCAAAUUUCAUGAAUGAAUUGCUAGAAAUAGUUCAGUAUGAUUUGAUUUACGACGCUACCCCAAUAGCAGGUUAAACAUGUACUAGAAAUAACUAUUCAAAUAUGUAAUUUAACAGAUAUUUAAACAGAUCUGAAAAAAUAUAAGAAAUUUUCAAAUUGUCUUCCAACAAAAUAGAUUAUUGCAACUUCCUUUUGUAUAUGUUGCAAUCACCAGAUAUGCUAAUCAACAGAUUAAGUUCUAGUAAUGAUGAUGAGAUCUAUCAAGAGAGAUCCAAGACCCAAAAAAAUUUAAUACUUGACAACUAGAUCUGAAAUAAAUUCGGAUAUAAUAACAAAAGAAGAAAAAAAAUUCUCACUAGAAACCCAUACAAAAAAUAGAAAAUUCUCACUAGAAACCCUAGGAGAAACAGAGAACUCUUACUAAAAAAAUUUAUAAGAGACUUUAUGAAAACAAAAUAAAACGAAAUCUGUUACCCUCCCGAAGAGAGGCAUUAUGAAAAGAGAAGAAAAAGUAUAAAAGUUGGAGAAAAGAGAGAGAUACCUUUCUGAUGUUUCACAAUUCUAUUUUGAUCUAUGUUUUUUAAACUCAGACUGAAGAGUGAUUCAGCUGAGAUCAGGGGUCAGGGAUCAAUGAAUUUGAUUGGAUCGGACAAGUAUUAAAAAUCAUAUGACGUCAGCAUGAUAUCAUAAAAAUUUUAUUUUAUUAUAUGCAAUAGUACAUAUAAAAUAUAUUGUUAAUAUGAAUAAAAGUGUUCAUUUUAUCUCUCAAGUUUUAUUUCCCAACAUUCUAUAAUUCAAUACCUUUUGAAUCUAGCUCAAAUUUGAUAUUUUAAAGCUUUAAACACAAAUUGAUCGACUUAGAACUAAAUUUGUAACGCUAUUUGAGAAUGUAAAGACAUUCAAGCUACAUAUGAUAUUUAAAAAAAGUUCAUGGGAGCAAUUUGGUUGUUUGAAAGUUUUAGGGGUCAAAACAAAAAGAUGAAAAAGCUACAGACAAACGUGCAAAUUAAUGACUUUCUUUGCUUCCUGAGAGCACAGAAAGGGUCGCCGUGCUCUGCUUCUUCAGCUUCUGUAUCUCUGUGGUUCUGAGUUUUUUUUCCUUUUUUUUUUUUUUUACUUUCAAAGCCUUAUCUUGUUUUCUUUCUUCAUCAAAACAAAACAUCAAAUCAUCUAUUCUUUACAUUCUUUGCUUGUUCUUCUGUUUUUCAAGUUUCUAAUUCAAAGUUUAGAUCAGCAAUUUUUCCUUUCUUUCUUGCUUUGCUUUUUUUCUUUUGAUUUGUCCAUUUCGAUGUUAGAUUGUGAUUGAUCUUGCUUGAGUAUGAUUCGUUUUUUUUUUCUCCUCCAAAGAAUUAAGAAAAAUAAAAAAGAAAAAAAAGAAAAAUAGAAGGAAAAAAGCGCUGAAAAAAGAAAAGUGAAAAACCCGGUUCGGACUGAUUUUACUUAUUUCUGGCCAAAUCCGAUUUUUUACCUAGUUUUUUACAGAUAGAUUUUUGUGGAGACUUGGACCAGAGGGUUGCUUCUGACCGAUUCUCGGUUCAAUUGGUCGGAUCAACCAAUCUGAUUCGAAUUUAAAAACAUAUAGAUUUUGGUUCAAAAUGGAAUAACAAAAGCUAGAAAACCAAGCAACUCUCCAUGUCAUCCAAACUAGCAGAAAAUUUUUUUUAAAAAAAUCUAUGUCCAGCUAUAAUCAUCUUAUCUUCCUUGGCAAUUCACCAAUGAACCCGUAUUUGGUACGCAAAAAUGACCUGAAAAAAAAAAAAGAUCUUUCCAACUUGUUCAUUCUAUUCUAAAUUUGGCAUGGAUUAUUCAAGUGGGAAACCCCUUUCCCCUUGAAAUGUUCAUUCCAACUUUUUCCUAAAAUUGCAUUCCUAAAAAAAAAAUCUAAGGAAAGCUCUUUCCAACUUCAUCCUAAAACGUCUAAAUUUGUAAGAUGUCAAUUUUAUCCUUAUAAAUCUUUUCUCUAUCACCAUAUCCUAGAAUAUUUGUGAGUUCAAUUAAUAGUUAAAUGUAAUUUUUCUAAAUAAAUAAUUUUUCCUGGGUUUAAAAUAAUUUUUUUAUUAGCAAACAAAUAUUUUAAGAUACUUUAUUCUUUGACAUUUAAACAAUUGUGUGAAUUUUUUGUAUUUUAUAUAAAAAAUGAAAACUUAAUAAAAUAUAAUAUAUAUAUUUUUGGCUUCAUGUAAUUUAUAUUUUGCAUUGCUUAUUAAUUAAUUAUAUUGCUAGUAGAUGCAAAAUUUUAAUGUAAAAAUCUAUAUGCUAGAAUGACUUAAAUAUUGCAAUUGAAAAUUUUUAAUAUCAAUCAUCAAUUAUUUUGAAAGCAAAAUAAUGUCAAAAUUCCAUAUAAGCAAACAAAUAACAUAGUAUAACAAAUAAAACAUGUUAUGCUCUAUAAAUUAAUCCAAGGCAAUUAAGUCAAUUUUGUAUUAAUUAUAUUUCAUUCUGACAUCUGAAUGUGGAUUAUACCAAACAUUGAAAAAAGAAUGAAUAUUCCAUUCUGACUUGUAUACUAGUCACAAGAAUGAUAAGUUUUUCUUCCUAGCAUUUUCGGUGAAAAGGCAUUGUGGAUGGAAAUACCUUUCCAUUCUGGCCAUUCCUACAUACCAAACGACGGGUGAAUGUUUCUUUGUAGGCCCAUCUAGAGUUCCUAAAAACAAGAAAAAGGUCGAAAAGAAUAAAAUCAGCUAGAUGUAAAAUUUUGCUGCAACAAUAAUCCUUACAAUUUGCAAAAUGUAACCAUUACCAUGUAACUUUGGCUCAAGUGAUCAUGAGUUGAGUAAAAGAAGGGUCUAAUGCCAUUUCAUGCCCUUAAACUUGUAUCUCAUUCCUACUCUGCACCAUUUAAGCUCUUGCGUUGGGACACUCGUAGAAUAAGAACAUUUGUAAGUGUAUAACUGCAUUAAUCAAAGUGUGUAUUUUGUAAAGGGUAAAACUAAUUUGUCAACUUGUGAUACUAACCUUUCUAAUUAUGUAGAAUAUAAAAAAGCCUGGGGCAAUCUUUUUUCCAACGAAUCAAAUCAUUUAUACAUAUUUAUUUGACAUGCCUCCAACAGGUAUUAUUUUUAGGACAAUUUCAUUGACGGGGAUUUCCUGAACCAUUUAUCUAUGUUGUGUACGAAAUCAACAAUCGUAACCUUGCUGGAAUUUGACACAUUAUUAUUUCUUGACUCUAGCACAACACCAUUAAAGUUUACCUUUGGGCAACUGAAAGUUAAAUUGAAACUGCUUCAAACAAAAAGAAGAAAAAUAAUCAAAUUGAAGCACUCAAGUAAAUGUAAUUUUCAGUUCCAAAGGGGAUGGACAACCAUCCAUAUAACAUGCAGUGAAAUGUUUGUCAUUGCACGGCUGGCUUGGUGCCACAAAAAUUCAAAUUGAAGAAUCAAGUAGUAUUUUCAAAUGUUCAAACAAAAAUGGGAUUUUGAAUUCCCAAUUACAGUAAGGGGUGGCCAUCAAUCUUGACUAGAAAAAGUUAUGUCAAAUGCAAACCGGGAGGGCUGUUGCUCAACAGCAGAUUGAAUUAAGCAUUUCAGACCAGAAAAGUGGGAACAAAUCUGUCGUGAUCAGAAAAGUUAGUUUGGCACCUUACUAAGAAUAGCAUUUUUUCAGUAAAAUGUGCUUAUCAUCUUAUCAGACAACAAUCUUUAGAUCAAUCGCAUUUAGCAUCGGGAGUGACGGUGCCGGAUGGAAAUCUUGGAAGCACCUCUGGACUCUUCACAUACCAAACAAGACUAAAAUUUUCCUUUGUAGUUCCUCUCAGCUUCCUUGGUGGUUCCCAGGGUGUGUUAGGGUAUCAGGCCAAUUAUUUGAAAAAAGGAAAAGACCAACAAUUUAAUAGAAAACAAUAUUUAACACGAAUAAUGAACAACACACAAGAAUUAACGUGGUUCGGCUUAAUCACCAAGCCUACGUCCACGGAGAGAAAAACUUGUUCUUACUAUGAGAGAAAAAUACCACAAGAUUACAACUUGAUUCCCAAGCCCCAACUCUUGUAUAACCCUCUCACCCACUAAGAACUCUCUCACUCCUUUCUUGUAUGUUUGUAGUAUGCCAAUCUACCUAUUUAUAGAGAACAUUACUUGGCCAAAAAACCAAAUAACAAUUUGAAACCAAUACUAAUUCCUAAACUCAUAUAGAGUAGGAAAUAACAUCUAAUUCUAAACCAAAUAGGACUUUACUUGACUACUACUUCAAGUAACUAAAAUCUAAGUAGGAAACUAGUUACUUUCCACACCAACUAAGAAUUCUACUUAAAAGAAAUUAAACCAAUUUCCUAACAGGGUGUUCCUAAUCGCAAACGUCCCAGACCAUUAAAAGGACUUGCUAAGGUUAGAGCGCAAAAUGUCUAAAGUUGAUGUUUAGAGUACAAAAUAAGAGGUAUAAAUUCAAGGUUGCAAACUUGAAAGAGUGCGUAAAAAUAAAACGUAAUAAAUAUUUGAUGGUGACUUCUCGUACAAAUUCAGGAAAAGAUAUUAAUUUGAAUUAAACACUGGCAGCACUGGCCACGUACGUCAAUGUUGUUGUAAUUUUGUUAAUUGUGGUGUCCAUACAUGUCCAGGUCUACACUCACCUACAAUAUCAAGUUGUAACCCUAAUGUGUAUAGUUUACCUAGGCAUUUUAAAAAUUAUUCGAUGACUAAGAUGAUAAUGUCCUCUACUUUCCCUAGGAAGUUAACAAUAUCUCAAAAACACAAAUAAUUAACUAAAAUAACUUUGACCAGGAACGAGAUUGGUACUUGAUUUCAUACAUUGGGUUCUCUAUAAAUUUUCACGCAAUUUCUAUGGUUAAGCACACCACCGAAGAAAUGACUUUGCUAUACACAUUUGUUUUGCUUUUCCUCUUUGCUUUAGCUUUCAAGUUUUUGUAAUGGAAAAACAAAAUAUCCCUCCAACUCCAGCUCCAGCUCUAGCCCUAGCUCCAGCUCUCCCAAUUAUAGGCCAUCUUCACCUUAUAAAGAAACCCUCCAUCGAAGCCUACACAAAUUGACUGGUAGGGAUUGUGAUGUGAUGGUAAUUACACACUGCCACCUAAUAGAAUGGAUAGAUUUAACUUUUAACGAGUCAAACGCGAAUUUCCUUACGAGUGUCUUGGACCAUUAAUAGCACUAGCUAAGUUAUACAUUCCGUGCACAGCCUUCGUAAUGUUAUUAUUCAUGGGAUUUAAGUCAGACAAUCUAAGAUAUUCAAGUGCAAAAUGUCUAGAAUUGAAGUCUAAAAUAUAAAGUCAGGCAAAAAUAUAAAUUUAGGGGUACAAAUUGGAAUUAGCCAAAAAGACAGAGAAUGAAGAAAACGUUUGGAUAAUAAUCCACUUGCAUAAAUUCAAGAAAAAUGUUAUUACGUCAACGUAUUUGUGUUGUUAAAUGUAGGAUCCUUACGUGUCCAGGUCUACACUCAGCUAUAAGAAUGUUAGGAAUUGAUUUAAUUUCUUUUAGGUAGGUUUCUUGUUUUGUGUGGAAGUAACUAGUUUCUUAAUUGGUUAUGUUACUUGAAAUGGUAGUCAAGGAAUUUCCUAUUUUGUUUAGAAUUAGAAGUUAUUUCCUAUUCUGUACAAGUUUAGGAAUUAGAAUUGGUUUCCUGUUGUUAUUUGAAUUUUUUGACCAAAUAACAUUCCCUAUAAAUAGGUGGGUUGGCAUACUAUACAAGGACACACAAGGAGUACAAAAGGGCAACAUAUAGCCUUAUACAUGGGGGCGAGAAAGGGUUCUUGAAAGAUGAGAGAUGGUAAACAAGAGUUGGAUUUGGAUUCAAGUUGUAUUCUUGUAUAGGGUUUUCCUCUCAUAAUAAAUAACGGAUUUCUCUCCGUGGACGUAGACUCAAUGGUGGAGUCGAACCAUGUUAAAUAUUGUGUGUCGCUUAUCUUUCAUGUUUGUGGCUUGUUUGUCAUUAAAUUAUUAUAUACUUGAUAUCUCAAUAGUUGUUUGUUCCGCAUUUGGAUCCUAACAAGUGGUAUCAGAGCUUGGUUGCGAAACUGGGCUGUUCACAAGUACUUGGAUCCCAACAAAUGGAAUGGUUGGAUUAAAAGUUUGGUUGUUCAAGGUUAGGUCCUAGUAAACUAUUGAGAUCAAGUGGAUUAGCUGUUGUUACCAAUUGAACAAUUUAAUGGAUGAUAUUCUUGUUUCAAUCACUUAGCAAGAAGUAUUGAUGGUAAAGGAUGGAAAGUCGAAAAGCAUGGAGAUACUUGACGAUGAAUCUAGGCAGGUGAUUCAAGAGUCAAGAAAAAGGUGGAACCCAAUGUUGAUUUUGGACGUGAAUCGGUGAAAACUUUUUCACACCUCCAACGAUUGAUAUUUCAUCCCGGUGGAUUUUAGAUGUUGGUUAUGUUCUUUGAGUGGUGUGGCACGUGUCCCAAAGAAACAAAGAGAUCUAAUUUUCAUGCACCAGAAGACUCUAACAGUUAAGAGUUUUUCAUUUAGGUGGAGUCUUGGAAACCACACGUGGCGAGAUAGUCCUGAGGAUGGGAACAUGUAUGGUGAUUUUAUCACUUGGUUACCUUAAUGAUUAGGGUUAGAGCUCACAGAAGGGAAUCCAAAUUGCAAGUGAUGGUGAGAAAAAAUCCUGCAAAGGGAGAUGGUGAAUUGAGGCAUCUUCUCACGAGUCAACUGAAUGUUGGAUUCGAGGUAACUAUAUAUGUUCAUUUGCCGAUUGAAUCAAUUUGGUGUCAGGACUGUAUUGAUUCGGAUGUGUAGUUCGGUACCAUAUUAUUUGGUAGUUGAAAGUAAAUGGUUGCUAAAAGAAAUUUUCGCCAAGAUGGAGAUUUGUUAAGAAAUUGGCUUAAUUUCUUUUAGGUAGGUUUUUUGUUUUGUGUGGAAGUAACUAAUUUCCUAAUUGGUUUUAGUUACUUGAAAUAGUAGUCAAGGAAUUUCCUAUUUUGUUUAAAAUUAGAAGUUAUUUUCUAUUCUGUACAAGUUUAGGAAUUAGAAUUGGUUUCCUGUUGUUAUUUGGAUUUUUAGCCAAAUAAUGUUCCCUAUAAAUAGGUGGGUUGGCAUACUACGCAAGAACACACAAGGAGCACAAAAGGGCAACAUGUAGUCUUAUACAUGGGAGUAAGAGAAGGUUUUUGGGAGAUGAGAAAUGGUAUACAAGGGUUGGGUUUGGGUUCAAGUUAUAUUCUUGUAUAGGGUUUUUCUCUUAUAAUAAAGAACGGGUUUCUCUCCGUGGACGUAGGUUCAAUGGUGGGGUCGAACCAUGUUAAAUAUUGUGUGUCGUUUAUCUUUCAUACUUGUGUGGCUUGUUUGCCAUUAAAUUGUUGUAUACUUGAUAUCUCAAUAGUUGUUUGUUCUGCACUUGAAUCCUAACAAAGAAUAGUCCCCACUUCUUGUGAUUUACAUGGUUUGAUGAGUAAGACUGCUCCAUUUCAAAACACAAAUAAUUAACUAAGAUAGCUUUGAAGAGCAACCAUAUUGGUACUUGUUUUCAUUCAUAUAGAUUCUUUAUAAUUUCCAUACGAGUUCUAAGGUUAUGCAACAAUGGAGGAAACUACUUUGUUAUACAAAUUACUCUCCCUUUUCCUCUUUGCUUUAGCUUUCAAGUCAUUACAAAGGAAAAGCCAAAAUAUCUUUCCAAGUCCAGCUCUAGCUCUCCCUAUGAUAGGCCAUCUUCAACUCAUAAAAAAACCUCUCCAACGCAUCCUACACAAAUUGUCUCAAAAAUGUGGCCCAAUCUUUUCUCUUAAGUUCGGCAACCGCCUUGUGGUUGUAGUAUCUUCAUCCUCUAUGGCGGAGGAAUGUUUGUCCAAGAAUGAUAUCAUGCUGGCCAACCUGCCGCAGUUUCUCAUAGGCAAGUACAUAGGAUACAACUACAAUAACCUAGUUGAUUCCCCAUAUGGUGACCAAUGACGCAAUCCUCGUAAGCUUUCUGCUAAUGAAAUAUUCUCUCCUACUCAUCUAAACAUGUUUUUAUCCAUUUGACGAGAUGAAAUCAUGCGUUUACUUCAAAAAUUGUAUGAGAUUUCACACGAUGGUUUUGCAAAAGUUGAGCUGAAAUCCAAGUUUUUAGAGCUUUCCUUUAAUGUUAUCAUGAGAAUGAUUAAUGGAAAGAGAUAUUUUGGUGAAGAUGAAGAAAGCGAGGAGGCUAAAAAAUUUCAGGGCCUUAUUCGUCAAACGUUUGAACAUGCUGGUGCAUCAAAUCCUGGAGAUUUCUUGCCAGUAUUGAGAUCGCUAGACUACAAAAGUUUUGAAAAGAGUUUAGCAAGGAUAAGUAUGGAUAUGGACGUAUUUUUCCAAGGUCUAGUUGAAGAACGCCGUAGUGACAAGACCAAGAAUACCAUGAUUGACCGUUUGCAGACACUGCAAGAAUCACAGCCGAAAUACUACAAGGACGAAGCCAUUAAAGCAAUGAUUAUGGUAAAGAUUAAUCAGUCAGUCUUCCUUAGAUUUCAUUUCCAAAAUAAGAAUGAUUUGUUUCAGAUGUCCUCCAUAAAACAAAAAUUUUAUUCCAUUAAACUUUUUAGAAAAUUUUAUGCAAAUCUCAAGUUCUCAGCACAAGUUAUUUCGUAAAUGCAGGUCCUACUGCUUGCUGGAACGGAUACAUCAUCUGCCACCAUAGAAUGGGCAAGGUCUCUUUUACUCAAUCAUCCCAAAGUGUUGGAGAAGGCAAAAGCAGAACUUGAAACUCAUGUAGGAAUUCAUCACCUGAUUCAGGAAGAUGAUUUAUCCAAACUGCCUUACGUUCACAACAUCAUUUUGGAGACCUUGCGUUUAUUCCUAGCAGUACCACAUAAGUCUUCUGCCAGUUGCAAAGUUGGGGGAUAUGAUUUUCCAGGCGGGAAAAUAUUGCUAGUAAAUACAUGGAGCAUCCAUAGGGAUCCCAAGGUUUGGGAUGAUCCUACAAGCUUCAAGCCUGAGAGAUUUGAAGGACUACAAGUGGAAACAAGCAAGCUGAUGCCAUUUGUGUUAGGUUUGGUCUCAAGAAAUGGACCAACGAGAAUAAUAGGAUUCUUGACAAUUCAAUAAUGACAAUAACAAAACAAAAAAAUCAAAUAGAGAACACAUGAAAUUUACAUGGUUCAUUCAAACUGACCAACGUCCACGAGCGAAGGAGUAGCAAAUUUACUAUAAUAGAAAGAGAGUAUAAAAGAAAGAGUACAAAAUCCUAGGAAAUAAUUCCCAAAUUCAAAAGACACCUAAAACUGAAAACACAAAAGAGUUUAAAUAGUUCUAAAUGCUUAAUGGCCCAAAAGCCCAUGAUUUGCUCUUUUGGUUUGAUACUAAGCCAAAACCUCUCUUAGACUCAGACGUGGGCCUCCCAAAAACUCUCUUGGACUGGUAUUUAUGGCACUUGGACUAAUACCCUUUGCACAAUUAAACUCACUUAAACCCGCUACAUUUAUAACCAACAAGAAGAGAUACUUCUUUAGAUAAGUUCCGAUAUGGGAUACAAAGACACACUUAACAAAUUUUCACCUUGGUGUGUAUCCAACAUAGGUACAUAGUAAACAAAUAGCAAACAAGUUCCACCUUCUCCAUAAAAGUCCUAACGAAUCUCAACGAACCACAAAAGUCCCAACGAACCACAACGAGCCACCAACGAACCAAAAUACGAAAGGUUCAACAGGUCCCAACUGGCCAAAUCUCAAAAAGGUUCAACUGAUCCCAACGGGCUAAAAAUCACGAGCAUGGUAAUCUUGCUUCACCUUCUUCUCAAACCCUCAACGAGUUCCAACGAGCCAAAUAAUUCUUCUCCAAAACCCAACUUAACUCCAACAAUUUUUUUUCUUCACUUUCUGUAGAGCCCAAAACCUGUUAUUGUCAUUAAGAACCCAAAAUCUGACUUGAUCCAAAAUCUGAAACUCUGAUACCAAUUUGUUAGGUCUGGUGCCAGGAAAUUGACCAACAAGAAUAAUAGAGUUCUUGACAAUUCAAUAAUGACAAUAACAAAAUAAAUAAAUCAAACAGAGAACACACGAAAUUUACGUGGUUCGGUCAAACUGACUUACGUCCACGGGCGAAGGGGUAGCAAAUUUACUAUAACAGAAAGAGAGUACAAAACCCUAGAAAAUUAUUCUCAGGUCCAAAAGGCACCUAAAACUGAAAAUACAAAAAAGUCUAAAUAGCACUAAGUGCUUAAUGAUCCAAAGACCCAUGAUUUGCUAUUUUGGCUUGAUGUCAAACCAAAACUCCUCUCAAACUAGGGUGUGGACCCCAAAAACUCUCUUGGAUUGGUGCAUAUGGCAUUUGGACUAAUGCCCUUAGCACAUUUAAACUCACUUAACCCUACUAUAUUUAUAACCACCAAGAGGAGAUACUUUUUUUAUAAAAGUCCCAAUGUAGGAUACAAAGACACACUCAAUAAAUCUCCACCUUGACGUGUAUCCAACAUCGGUAAAUAGUAGACCAAUAGCAAACAAGCUCUACCUUCUCCAUAAAAGUCCCAAUGGAUCUCAACGAAUCACUAAAGCCCCAACAAACCACCAACGAACCAAGAUGCAAAAGACUCAACAGGUCCCAACAGGCCAAAUCUCACAAAUGGUUCAACAAAUCCCAACGGACUAAAAAAUCAUGAACAUAGUAAUUUUGCUCCACCUUCUUCUCAAAACCCUCAAUGAGUUCCAAUGGACCAAAUAACUCUUUUUCAAAACCCAACUAAACUCCAGCGAAAUUUUUUUUUCUUCACUCUCUGUAGUACCAAAUACUUGUUAUUGUCAUCAAGAACCCAAUAUUUGACCAUGACCCAAAACUUGAUACUCUGAUACCAAUUUGUUAGGUUUGGUCCCGAGAAAUUAGCCAACGAGAAUAAUAGGAUUCUUGACAAUUCAAUAAUGAUAAUAACAAAAUAAAUAAAUCAAACAAAGAAUACACGAAAUUUAUGUGAUUCGGUCAAAUUAACCUACAUUCAUGGGCGAAGGGUUGCAGAUUUACUAUAACAGAAAGAAAGUACAAAACCCAAGAAAAUAAUUCCAGAUCCAAAAGGCACCUAAAACUGAAAAUACAAAAAAAUCUAAAUAGCACUAAAUACUUAAUGGUCCAAAGGCCCAUGACUUGCUCUUUUGGUUUAAUAGUGUGUCUUUGUAUCCUACAUCGGGACUUUUAUAAAAAAUAAAAAAAAAUAUCUCCUCUUGGUGAUUAUAAAUAUAAUAGGGUUAAGUGAGUUUAAGUAUGCUAAAGGCAUCAACCCAAGUGUCAUAUGCACCAACCCAAGAGAGUUUUUGGGGGUCCACACCCCAGUCUGAGAGGAGUUUUGGUUUGGCAUCAAACCAAAAGAGUAAGUCAUGGGCCUUUGGACCAUUAAACAUUUAGUGCUAUUUAGACUCUUUUUGUGUUUUAAGUUUUAGGUGCCUUUUGGAUCUGAAAAUUAUUUCCUAGGGUUUUGUACUCUCUUUCUGUUAUAGUAAAUUUGCCACCCCUUCGCCCGUGGAUGUAGAUCAGUUUGACAGAACCAUGUAAAUUUCGUGUGUUUUCUGUUUGAUUUAUUUAUUUUGUUAUUGUCAUUAUUGAAUUGUCAAGAACCCUAUUAUUCUCGUUAGUCAAUUUCUUGGGACCGGACCUAACUAAUUGGUAUUAGAGCUUCAGAUUUUGGGUCAUGGUUAGCUAGAUUUGGGUUCUUGAUGACAAUAACAAGUAUAUGGUACUAUAGAAAGCGAAGAAAAAAAAAAUUUCGCUGGAGUUCAGUUGGGUUUUGGAGAAGAGUUAUUUGGCCCGUUGGAACUGGUUGAGGGUUUUGAGAAGAAGGUGGAGCAAAAUUACUAUGUCCGUGGUUUUUAGCCCAUUGAGAUCUGUUGAACCAUUUGUGAGAUUUGGCCCGUUGGGACCUAUUGAGCCUUUUGCAUCUUGGUUCGUUAGUGGUUUGUUGUGGUUCGUUGGGACUUUUGUGGUUCGUUGAGAUCCGUUAGGACUUUUAUGGAGAAGGUAGAGUUUGUUUGCUAUUUUUUACUAUUUACCGAUGUUGGAUACACGCCAAAGUGGGGAUCUGUUGAGUGUGUCUUUGUAUCCCACAUCGAAACUUUUAUAAAAAUGUAUCUCCUCUUGGUGGUUAUAAAUAUAGUAGGGUUAAGUGAGUUUAAGUGUGGUAAGAGCAUUAGCCCAAGUGUCAUAUGCACCAACCCAAGAGAGUUUUUGGGGGUCCACACCCCAGUCUAAGAGGAAUUUUGGUUUGGCAUCAAAUCAAAAGAGCAAGUCAUGGGCCUUUUGGUCAAUAAGCAUUUAGUGUUAUUUAGACUCUUUUAUAUUUUCAGUUUUAGGUGCCUUUUGAACCUAGAAAUUAUUUCUUAGGAUUUUGUACUCUUUUUUGUGCUUUUUUCUAUUAUAGUAAAUCUGCUAUCCAUUCGCCCGUGGACGUAAGUCAGUUUGACCAAACCGCAUAAAUUUCGUGUGUUCUAUGUUUGAUUUAUUUAUUUUGUUAUUGUUAUUAUUGAAUUGUCAAGAACCCUAUUAUUCUAGUUGGUCAAUUACCUGGGACCAGACCUAAUAGUUUGGAAUAGGAAGAUGGUCAUGCACUGGUACUGGCCUGGCACAUCAUGUGGUAGGUCUGACCUUAGGAUAAUUGAUACAAUGUUUUGAAUGGCAAAAGGUUGGUCCUAAGGAGAUUGAUUUGACUGAAGGAGAAGGGCUUAGCAUGCCUAAAGCUGAGCCACUAGAGGCAAAAUGCAAAGCGAUGAAUUUCAUCCACAAGAUUCUUUUAUAAGUCGAUGGAAUUAGGGAUGUGAUCGGAAUCGAAAUCGAUAAUUCGAAACUUUGAAAUCGAAAUUUUUUGAAAUUUUGGCAUCAGAAUUUCCUAUCGAAUUUGAUUUCAAAUUCACCAACUCCGAAUUCGAAUUCGUUUCGAAUUCAAUUCGGAUUUCGGUAAAUUCUGAUUUCACCGAAUUCAGGAAUAUAAAAUUAUUAUUAUUAUAUAAAUGUUAUAUUACAUAUAUAUAUAAAAUAUUAUAUAUAUAAUGAAAAAUAAUUUGAAAUCGAAAUAGUAAUUCCUAAUCACCAAAUUCAAGAAUAUAAAAAUUGUUAUUAUAAUAUAAAUGUUUUAUUACAUAUAUAUAUAAAUUAUGUGUAUAUAUAUAUGAAAAAUGAAUUUAAAAUCGAAAUAGGAAUUCUGAAUUCCGAUUUUGAAUUGUGAAUUCGAAAUCGAAAUUUUCGAUUUGAAAAAUUCCAUUACCGAAUUCGAACCAAAUUCGCAUAAUUUGAAAUCGAAAAACCAUAUUUCAGUUUUGAAUUCUGAAUUACUGAAUUCGAAAAUUCCGAAUUCAAUUGGAAUUCGGUCGAUAAAUCGAAAUUUUUUGAUUUUGCACAUCCUAGAUGGAAUUGUCCCUAGAUUUAUUUUUUUAUGCUAUGUUAUCUGAAUGAUUUUGAACUUUCUUGUGGUUGAUGUCUGUGGGAAAAUCUGUAUUUUUGGAAAGUAGAAUAUUGAGUAAUAAAAUCGUGUAAAUUAGGAGAGAUUAGUAGAGAGAAAUUCUAUAUACCUAUAACUGUGUAUUAGCUGUAAAGGAGCUAAUUUGGUGUAAAAUCUUAUUCCUAGAAUUAAGCAUAUAAUUGUGUAUAGUUUCCUAAUAUAGGCUGAAACCUGUUGUAUAUAUUCUUUUGGAUGCAAUGAAAUAAUUAUUCCCCUCAUUCAUUAUUUUCAAGUUGGUAUCAGAGCAUCUUUUCCUGGUUUUUUUUCUGUUUCAUUUUUCCUCCUUAUUUUUUUACAUUGUCCCCUAUCCCUUCAUCAUGUUGAAAUAUCAUCAGACUCUACCAUUAAUCCUCAAACUACUGCCUCUUCAUCCAAAAACAGAAUCGAAUCCUUGAAAACUGGGGUUGAUUCUCACUCAGUUCAGAUUACUACCAUUCGGCUGAAUGGAGAUAAUUUUCUCCAAUGGUCACAAGCAGUCCGGAUGUAUAUCAGAGGUCGUGGCAAGAUGGGGUAUUUAACUAGUGAAACAAAGGCUCCAAUAAGCACGGAUCCUGCUUACGCAACAUGGGACGCGGAAAACUCCAUGGUAAUGAUAUGGCUUGUAAACUCAAUGGAGGAAGAUAUCAGUUCUAACUACUUGUAUUCAACGGCACAAGAGUUAUGGGAAAAUAUCAAUCAGAUGUACUCUGAUUUGGGAAAUCAGUCCCGAAUUUUUGAGUUGACUCUCAAAAUUGGAGAUCUACGUCAAGGAGAAGACACUGUCAUAAUUAUUGUUAGUAUAAACUAAUUUAUUUAAUAUAGAUUGUUAUUGAAUAUAACCUACUCUGUUUAAUACAUUUAAAUUUUUCAAAACACAUUGAUAUAUGAAUGUGAAUUGAUUCAUUCUUAAUCAUCAGUUCAAAUUCCCAUAAACCGUCAAUUCAAGUUUUUAUAAAUAAUUAAUAUAAGGUUAUACUCUAUCUAAUGUAAGGGUGUUUUAGAAAAUUAGUAACCUAUUUUUAUUUUUCUAACAAAAUUAACUACUUUUUCUUAAAUUGUUUGAAAAAAAAACCUAGAACUAUCAAAAUGAAAUGGAGGGAAUAAUAUAAUCUGUUUUUUUCUUUUUUCUUUUUUUAUUUUUGGCGAGUGCAAAGCACUUUUGCCUUGCGAGCUGGCAACCAUGCUACUGGUCGCUCAUAUUUACAUGGACCACUGGUAAUUCACUUGUGAACGUCCAUCCCUAGGAACUUCACUUUGUUUUCUCCACGUACUUGAAAACAUACUAAACCCAAUUCAGAUAUAUAUGAGGAAUGGAUUUCCUAAUGGGAUUUCACAGUGCAAAAAAAAAAAAAAACAAAAAACAAAAAACUUGGAGCAGAGUGCAAUGCUACCAAACAGAUAACUACUACAAAAUGCUUAUCACAAUUAUGCUGAAAAUUUGCCUAGCCUUCAAUCUGGUUUCUUUAAGUUCAAGCAGUUGUCUGUUGCUUGCCUGAACAACUCCUGCACCUGCUUUAAUUCCUUAUCCGCAGCUUCCAGUUGUUUUUGUAGUUCUUGGCCUACCGCAUCAUUUUCAGCCUGAAGUUCUGCAAUUCUUUUCAGCUGAGCUUCUUCACCUCCCUCAGCUAAUGGAAGGGCAGCUACCAACAGAUCAAACUGCUUGGCAGCGUUGACAAGUGCAGCACUCAUGAGCUUUGGUUGCUCAGCAAGACUAGCUGCAUCCUCUGCAGCACUAGAUGGAUUAGCAGGAGGUUCCGGACAAUUAGGAGACAACCUAACUGGAGGAGCAUCCCUUUGAAGCGUCCCAAAGGUGUUGAAGGCAAGACCUGCAAUUGUAUUCACCUGUUCUUGCAGUUGAGUUAUUAUAUCCAUCUUGAAUUUUGAUACCUGCAAUUCUGGGCAACUUUGAAUUCAAGUAGCAUUUCUCAAUUUCUGUACAUCUUCGUUUUGAAUUCGAGCGACUAGGUAUUUCCUUGUUCAUCACAUUAACAACUCAAGAGUAACAGACAAAGAAAGAGGUCACACAGCACUCAUGAUCGACAGCUGAAAGAAAGAAUCAGAGGCAUUCUCAUCACUCAUAAGCAUAUUUGAAGCAAUACAAGUGAAAAAAAGAAAAGAAAAAUAGACAUAUAUGGCUUGGCACAAAUAGUCAGUCAAUCAGUUUGAACACACUCAAUCAGGCCUUCCAAUAUCCUUCCUGUGCUUGACAUCAGAGAGAUCCUCUAGAACAUGACUUAACAGAUGGUAGAUGCUGUUAAAACUUUUUCAUACGUAGACAAAACUACCCUCAACUAAAACAAAAGGUUUAGCACCUCAAAAAAUAAAUAAAGACCAAGAAGCUCUAGAGAAAGUCCAAACAAACGACCUGUCAACCCCUUGUCUUCCUCCUCCAAAUCUCCCUAUUUGACAACUCCAUCAACACAAGGAGAAACCAUGUCUAUUUUUCAUACACGUAUCAUGAGAUCACAAUGUAAAAGUGUAUGCUAAGUAGACACAAAUCAUUAAUAGCAAUCCUAUGCAUCCAAAUACCUCAAUCCUAUGCUAAGUAAAUAGUUCUGGAUGCCUGAACUAUUUACUUCUAGACUUAUUUUCCACAGCAAAGAUAUAAAAAGGCUAAACAUCUAGAAGACAUAAUCUACACUUGUCUAUACUACAUGAAACAAUACUUACUCUCCUUCAUUACAAGUAUAUCAAUCAAUUCAUCAUUAAAAAGAAUUAUCAUUUCCUUUUAUUUUCAAGAUCCACUUUUACCUCAGCUGGCAAGAGAAUACAUUACAAACUUGCACCUCACGAUACUCAUUGAAGCAUUUAUAUCAGCUGAAUUAUGCAUUAAUUCUAGGUAACAUUCAACAAAACUUAUGAAUGAGUAUGCAACCACACCUAGAGAUGUGAUGACAUUUGAAUCAGGAAAAAAAGAAACAAAUUCUGACCUUCAUCAUUCUUCAUAGAAUAAUAUUUCUUUACAUGUUCCAAACAUAUUUUAACAGAAAGACCAGUACCCAUCUGAAUGAGGAUAACUAACUCCAAACAUAAUAGUUGUGCUUUUGACUAUAUGGAAGCCUUGUUAAGAAGAUAGGCAACAGCUAGAACCUUAAUAUGGUGUCAAUCAUAAUUAAACACCACAACUCCACAUAUGCCCAUUUCUCUAUUAUUCUUCAAUGGUGGCCCCACAACAAGAAAGUUUUUGGAUUUCCCUUCUAACAAACAACCAUUCGAGGUAAAUUAGAUUUAGAUAACUGACAAUGGAGAAGCUUAUGCUGGAUUAAGUGUCCAUAACACAUGACCACUCACAGCAAAAAAAAAUGCAAUUGCAAUGGUGAAUUUAGAUGAAUCCUUUGCAUUACUUGUAAAAAGGCAACUUCCAAAGUUGGAAUGUAGAUGACAUUCGUCGAGGAUGUUUCCGAUACAGAAAAGAGCAAAAUGGUUGAAUCCUACAUGUAACUAUAGUAUGCUACCAGCAACCUAAGAAGAAUCUCUCUCCAUAAUACCAAGGUCAAAAUGAACACCCCUCAACCAAAAACCAUACAUAGCAUGACUAUUUCUGGCAAUGUCUCAGUAAACUAGUUCAAUUAUCUUUCUCAUUAACUUCCUCUUGUCUUACUUUUAGCCCUUCAAUCCAUAUUGGAUCCACAGAGACAAGAAUAUCAAUAGUUCCAUAUCAGCAAGCAAACAGUUAUAUAAAUCUCUGUAUAACGACAAAGCACACCCAAACUUUUUUCUUACACUAUUUUAUACAGCAUCAUUUCUCCUGACUUAGAAUUGAGUCAUAAAUAGUGUGAACCUUACAGAUGUCUAAUAGUCUGACCAGUCGUCCUUUUUUCCGAUCUAAAGGAAAACCAAUCAUUCAUUUCCUUUUGGUUUUCUACUUUUUCCCUUUGGUUCUUUUAUGUCUUCUUUUCAUUUUGGGUAGGGAGGAGGGUGGAGGCCUGUCUGUGAUAUUCCUUUAAGGAGCAAGUCGACCAAAAGAUAACAAGAAAAUCUCAAAUUGAUUAAGCAACAUCGUUUCACUAGCCAUUAAAUGCUCUAUGACAAGCAUAUUCAGAAUCUGCUUUAAAUCUAAACUUGUGCAGUCACAAUUAAAUGGAUACCCCGACAUCUAGGAUAAAUGAUAAUAGGAGGUUAAUGCCAAAAGGCCCAAAUUUAACAAUUCAUUGACAACAAAUUAACACAGAUGCAUUCAUUGGGGGCAAACUAACCAAGGAAUACAAGUAUUUACCUCAGUUUUAUACUUAGCUAUUGGCUGUACCAGAGGGCACGACUAAUCUAGGCUCCAACACUUUGAAUUUCUUAAACACAUUUUGCUGCAGAAGACAAAAUUUACACCAUAUAGAAAUGAACAUUCGAAAAGAAUUUGAAUCAUAUAUAAUUCCCAUAAAAAUAGAAUAAUAAACCAAGUGUCAUGUUCUCAAACACAUACGAAACAGAUGUGCAUGCCACAGUUUUCAAAGUAAAAAGACAAUGACAACUUUUCAAAAACCUGCAGCUAUAAAUCACGGAACAAUCACAGCUACACUUAUACGAGGUAGGCAUAAAUAGUGGCUCAACGCCCACAAACAUCUAGCGUCUUUUUAAGAAAAGGAAAAAGGCAAGCACAAGCAGCAUAUGAUUGAGUGCACAAUGUAACUAAAAGAAGCAACCCUCAGAAAUUUAAUUGGUCAAAAAACAACUUUCCAAAUCCUGACUGGUCUAUGUGAAUUGUCCAGACAGCAAGGGAAGGCAUUACAAAAAUUGAUAACACCUACAAUAACAAAUGACCCCAUAGAGUUGACCUUUCGAACCCGCUUCAAACCAUGACAUAUAAAUAGCCAAUCUUGGGGUCCAGCACAAAAACCCAAUACAAACUCAUCAGCAAUCCACAAAUCCUUCAAGAACACAAGAAAAACACCGCUCCAUCUUUCAGAAUCACCCAAAAAACAUGCAGUCACGUGUGUGCCCAUCCAUAGAAAAAAGUACUACUACAGCAAGCACAAAACCCUACUCCAAAAUCAUCCACAACAUUCAAAUCCCUUCAUAACACCAUUCAUCUCCUUCAAUAAUCACCAAGAAAAGUGUAUGCACCCAUGCACAGAAAAAAGUACUAUAAAAGCCAUCAGAAAAACUCUACCCGGAAUAAUCCAUGACAUUCAAAUCCCUUCACACAACACCAUUUUAUCUCCAUCCCAAAUCACCAAAAAAUGCCUGUGCACACUUAUGGGGGAAAAAGAACUCCUACAGCUAACACAAAACCGUUCUCCAGAAUCAAUCACAACAUCCAAAAUCCCUUCAAACGGAGGGGGUAAAAAGACAACUCGCCGCUUCCAAAAUCGCGGAAGACAGAUAAUUUGACCCCCCCCCCCCCAACAAAAAAAACAAAAAAAAAACAGCAUUUAAGGGAAAAAAUACCAAAAAAUCCACAAUUAUCCAGCUGGGAAAGAAAGAAAAUUGAACAUCAGUUCUCAUUCAUUACCAAAAAGAUUCCGUCAAAUGAGAACUUAAAACAAUACAGAAAGGCAUGCAUACCCAAAAUGCAGAUAAACCAACCAGUUUUUUUUGGAGCAAACUAAUCAGUUUAUGCAGAUAAAAUUCUAACCUUAGUAAACAACAUCACAACUCUGAUUUAAAAAAAAUUGAACGCAUCUCGAUCACAAUCACAUUGAUGAAUCAAAGGAAAAAAAACCAUGAACCAAAUAGCAUAAAAAAGAACAAAAAAAAUCAAGCCAAAACACAUCCAUACGCAUGUUCAGGUGGUGAGCUUUAGCCUAUACACGGAUUAAAACAAUAAAUCAAAAGCAAGAAUUAAAAGCCAAAAAAAAAAGAGAAAAAGUGAAGAAACCUUACAGUGAAGAGGACGAGAGAAUUCUUGAAAGAAAAUAUGUGUCUGGAGUCUGGACGGGCUUUUGGUUGCUGCCUCGGGGAGUGCAAGAAAGGACAGGAGGGAAGAGAAGAGAACAGGAGAAAGAUUAAAAAAAAGAAAAAAGAAAAAAAAAGAUUUGGAUUGUGGAUUUUAAGUUGAGUUAAUUGCAUUUUGCCCUCCUCAAUUAUGCCUAGACUGAAGUUUGUACCCCAAACGUUUAAUUUUUGCAAUUAACUAUCUCUAACUCUUGAUUUGCCGCAUGAUUUAAAAUGAAGCUAAAUCCGAUGGGAUAAAAGAGCGACACGACCGAUUUGCCCUUAAAAUCUUACUAAAAUGCCCAAAGUAUCCCAGAAAAAAGCAAUUUUCUAGGAAACCUUUUCUCUCAUUUUCUUAAGCGAACUCAAGAAUGCGUAAAGAAAUCUAAUCCUCGAACAACCUUCAAAAGCCUUUUCUCUCAUUUUCUAGGAAACCUUUUCACUUUCCCCUUUCCUUUGAUUUUCGUCUGCCACAAUAGGACAAAUAAGAAAAAGGAAAAAUGUCCAAUUUCGUCCCUAAAUUUUGGUGUCAAUUUAGUUCUUAACUUUCAUUUCUGACUAAUUUGAUAUUUGAACUUAUUUUGCAAUUUCAAUUAAGGACCCCAAUGGUACUACUAUUUAAAACCGAUAUGACUUCUAAUUGAUUAACUAAAAUAGAGGUAUUAUAGAAAUGCCACUCGGGACAUUAUAAUGAAACAAGCAAAUCAAACUUCUAAAUCGUAUAAAAAAUUAUCAGAUAAAACUUCUUUGAAGUUUAAUCUUGUGAUUUUUUUAAUACGUUGAUUUAUUACAGUCCCGUGAGUGAUGUUCUCAAAAUUUCCCUAUUUUAUUAGUUAAUUAGAAGUCAGAUCUGUAUUAAAUGGUAGCGUCGCUACAAAAGUCCUCAGUUGAAACUGCAAAAUAAGUUCACAUAUUAAAUUGGUUAGGAAUAAAAAGUUAGAAACUAAAUCUACACUAGUGAAAAGGUUUAGGAAUGAAAUUGGUCAUUUUUUUAAAAAAAAACCACCACAACAAUAAUCCCCGUCUUACCAAUCGAAAUUAACACUUCUCACAUCAAUGAAUUUUGUCGAACAGUUCUGACCUUACAUACUCUGCUGCAACUUCUUAACCCAUGGUUUAUGGGACUCUUAUCUAUGGUGACAUCUGGCCAUGCGGGUUGGAGUGCAACUGCAAGAACAGGAAGACAGGAAAGCCUAGAAGGUAUAGGAUUCAUGGUGAAUCCUCUUAACUGUUAAUUUGAGUUAAUAGUGUUUGGAAGUUUGAAAACUCAAUAAUCAACGUCCUUUCAUUUGAGAUCCUUUCUCAAUUAAAAGUCCAUCAGUCCAAGUCCACACAGAGGUUUUCAUUCCGGGGUUCCAUUUGCAAAGGUGAAUAUCAAGAUAAGACUCCUGGCAUGUGGAAUUGAGUUAGAUCAUGUUCGCAAUUUGCCAAUAUAGAGUUUUGUAUCUCGGAAGUGGUAAUUAACCUCACAAAAUGCAAAAGAAACUGCAAAGAUUAGAAUUAAGAAUUGGUGAUCUGUUUCAAGGGCAUUGUAGAUUAACAACCCUGCAGGAAAAUAGGCCAAGCCACUUUCAUGUGAAUGAUAUUAUUGUAAUAUGAUAUAGAUACAAUGUAGACUAAUAAAUUGCUUAUUAGAUGCUUUUACUAUUCACAAUAUAUCCUGCUCAGGAUUAAGAAGGAAGAAAAAACCCACAAAAUCAAGGCCAUGCAACUUAGCUUUGGCAAUCUGCACAGAAAAAGGAAAAGAAAAUCCAGAAAACUAUGAAUAAAUGCUAAGAUUCAGAAUGUGAUAAUGGAAUAUUAAUACAUCAACAAUUGGCCAACUCGAACAUAGUGAAUACUCAGUU